UGCUAACCUCAAUGCCCUCACCGGUGCUAGGGUUGCUAUCAUCCUAGAGGCGAGCAAUGGUUUUAUGCUCUUUCAGACAAACCAUCCUACAAUGGAUUUCUUGGGAUGGAUGCUUAAUUGGGUUAUGAUGGUACUAAGUAGACAUUCUUCUAUAGGAAAUGGUGAAUGUGUUUAUGCGCAAUAGGAAUCUUCUUCCAGUGAGCAAGAUGUUGAUGCUUCGGUGCAAUCUGAAGGACUUAGUUAGAAGCUAGUUAGACUUACAUUUUAGUUCUAUAUCGGAAUGAAAGCUAGUUACAUUACCACCUGGAAAAUGUUACCAUUUGGAGAUUUUACUAAGCCCCUUCCAGGCAAUAAUAUACAUGUUCAGUGUUAUAGGUCUUGGAACAUGGAAGUUUUUUUUGUAUGUGCCACUUCAUAUUUUCAUUAUAAUCAAAUAUUUUAUUUUCUUUUUGAGAUGUUAUGUAUCUUAUGGGUGAAGGAAGAGGAAACCUUGAUUUAUAAUACCACCCCUCUUAGCAUAUUAUGAUCCAACCAUUAGUAAUUAACAGAAAAUGGGAGCUAUGCGGAGUAACUAACUAAAAGGUAGCACAAGUUCAGAUUUCCACUCAAGCGACAAGCAUCAAUUGCUUUAAUUGCAUAAGAGUAUGAAAAAUAUGAACAACUCAAUAUGAGAUUCAUUUGAAAUCACGGUAAAUCAAUGUUUUAUUAAUAGAUGCCAAUGAUUUAUUGUCAUUAAAUUAAAACCAUAGUAUACCUGCGAGGACAUGGCGGCCACCUAAUUCUCCAUUUCAGUUCCAGUAGCAAGAAACAACAAAUUUAUGAAAUGAAUCUACUUUUGUUACCUUCGUUAGUUUUUAUCCUUGAAUAAAAAGUGAUUUUUUUUGUAAUGAUAUUGCUCAUCUAAUUAAUAAAUUAGACCCUCGGCAGGUUGCAUUAUGCAAUUGUUCUAAUCUUCUCACCGUUGACAGAGCAUGGUGCCCCAAUGUUUGGUUUUUGUAAUUGAUGACAAUGUCAGGACCGGAUUUUCGGGAUAUUAGUUUCCAGAAAAUGGCCCUUGUGCUCACCAGCCCCAGGAUUACUUUUAGCUGAUGAGGCACCAACUUGAUACAGAAAUUCCAAGCAAAAUACAUAAUAUGUAGUACAAGACCAUUCUGGCCUAUGAGUACAACAAAUGGUUUCCAGUGGUUGAUGGCGGAAGCGGUUUGUGGAUCAUCAGCGUCUAUGGGACUCCAAUUCCCACAUGAACAGCUGCCAGGUUAACUCCUAUCUUCGCGAGGCUGCUAUCACCGUUGCUUAGGUUCCGGGGCUGUCAUCGCAACGCUCCUCUCCAAGCAAGAAAUCUGGCCAAGACAAUAGCCAGGGACAAGCCAGUGAGUACUUUUGAAUGUACUCGCAAACAUUAUGAACACGGGUAUGAUAUAACAACCAAUAAUCAUACUCUAAAAUAUUCUAUGCUCACAACGUCCGUCAUAAAAAUAAUAUCCCUGAUACAUGCAAGCAGGUUAUUUAUGUAAAACAUGAAUAUGCAAUCAGAGAGUAAAAAUAAAAUGCACCGAGCGGGUGUCUGAAGCGACGCCUCGAAAGGAUAAUAAUAUAAGGCAUGCCUCAGUCGGGCGUCUGCGCGACACCACAUACAUGGCUUAUAAAGUAAAUAAAUAAUGAGCAUGCCACAGUCGGGCGUCUGAGAGACACCACAUAAAGGGCUUAUAAGGUAAACAAUAAGAAUGCCACAGUCGGGCGUCUGAGCGACACCACAUAAAGGGCUUAUAAGGUAAACAAUAAGAAUGCCACAGUCAGGCGUCUGAGCGACACCACAUAAAGGGCUUAUAAGGUAAACAAUAAGAAUGCCACAGUCGGGCGUCUGAGCGACACCACAUAAAGGGCUUAUAAGAAAACAAUCACAGUGAAUAUCCAGGAGGUAGAACCGUCCCAGAAUAAUCCCAGUAAUAUGGUGGGUAAGUCCAUAAUAGUAAUAAUCCCAAUCAUCAUAGUCAACACAAGUCACAGGUCAUGAUCCAUGUUCUGGUUUAGCAGUUUCUCCUCCGAAGACCGACACUUGACCAAACCCAGACUGUAGUCCUUAACCAUGGACAUGGCUAUUCGAAUAGAUUUAACCUCUGCAAACGGUGUACUCUUUACCCACGAGUAACGGAUUCCUUUAGUCCAUCGGGACUAAUUCCGUCUACGGCCUUUUAAUAGAAAACACACCUGACUUGCACACACCAGCUUAACUUACCAGUGUCUGGAAUCACCCACGACACCUGUCAAGCAAAAACUCUAAGUGGGGAGGCUACAACCUCGCGUAGCAUGGGAUCAAAUUCAUAUCGCACACUCUAAGUGGUGCCCCCCUCUCGGUCCCAUCCGAAAACACCCAUGCCCCCGGACCAGGUGGCCUGCCUACCAGCUGCAGUCGGUAUCUUCCACCAUGGCCUCUCUGUACGGUGUGUGCUAGAAAGGGGUUGACAGACAACUUACUGUACCGUACCCUACCUGCUGUAGGGACAAGUGGUAGUACGAAACAAGUAUGGGGGUUACUGGAACAAGACUCGAUCUAUGGCCGACUCAGGAAGUUUAAGUAUUCCCAGCAUGAUUAGCUUAAUGAAUAUAUUUCAUCCAACAGACAGGAUCACCACUCAUCAUACCCCAUCAUGCCAUACCGGACACACUCGUCUCGACGAGGAACUAGGGACAAGCUCGGGUCUACCCAAGAUAGAGACUUUCCAGUUUUCCUUCUGGUAGGCGCGAAGGGCAUACGAGGAUGAUCACUAUCACAAGCAUGUCCAUUUCCAACAGCAAGGAAAUCCCCAAUAUGCAUUCAUGCAAAUGAUCGCGUCACCACAUAAAAUAACGAGUUCUCCGUAUUAAGGUGGUGUUAUAAUCAUGUCAACUAACACACAAAAAUAUUAUGCCAGGGUUCAGAAUGCUUGCCUUCAAGGGUAUGCAAGUGGGGUGUGCCUUUUGAAAGUUGACUUCUUCUCCAAAAACCUAUUUUUGAAAAUAUUCAAAUUAACACAUACUUUAAAAACUGUACAAAAACGUUGCUUGGAAAAUUUUCAAAUAAAUAUGAAAAUAAACUAGACAAUAUUUGGGAAACAACAGAAAAAGAAUCAAGUCAUUUGGAUUUAUAUCUAAAAAGUUAUAGCCUAUCAAAGUUUAGUCAACUUUCUGUUUUUAAAAUAAAUCUGAAAAAAAGAAAAACGUUUCGAAAAGGGUACACGUCGAAGACGUACUUUGGGAAUAUGCCUCCACUUAAAACACGUGGUGGCGGGGUUGGGUCACUGACAGUGGGUCCAGCGGCCCCACUGGUCAGGUUUGACUAGUCCCCCGCCUUCUUCCUCCUCUGUCCGAGCCGAGGCGGGGGCUCCGGCGAUCGACGCUGGCGAACGGCAGCUCCUCGCGGGGCUCUGAGGGCGAGGAUGGAUCCGCCACUCCCAGGUGGUCCUCCCGGUGGUUGAGAGGGUGGCGGGGACGAAGGGAGUCGCCGGCGGUGAGCCUUGCGGUGGACGGCAGCUUCGGGAGGUUUGGGGGUUUGGGUUAUGGUGCUUCCCGAUCGACGCUGAGAGGGUGGGUGGCUCCGCACGGUUGGGGGGAGAAGGAUGGAAGCACGGGAGGGGUUUGGGGGCCUCGGUCUUGACCGGAUUUCACCGGAGUGUGGCGGCGGCCGAACCUGUCGGGGACGAGGAAGAUGGCCGUCAUUCGCCGAUUGCUGGCUACGGGGGGGCUCUAGGGGGGGUGGCUCGAGGCUGCCUGAGUGCUGGGACGAGCUCGGGGUCCCCUUUUAUAGUGCAACGAGGUCGGUUCCGCGGCGGCAGUGGAUAGGGACGCCGGCGAACCGCUUUUCUGUAGCUAGGGGUGAGGUGGAGAUGCUUGGAGCUGGUCGGCGCACUCCGACGAACUCCACACUGCUCAAGAGGCGAGCUGGCUCUCGUGUGUGGCUCGGGCGGCGCCGUCCAGGGCAGAGGUUGUCGGGGCGGCGGUGGCGACAUGCAGUGGUGAUGCUGUGGUGCGCCAGGAGGGGGGGCCAGGGUGGCUCUACAGCGAGGGAGGGGUCGGGACGCUGGCUGCGAGUGGAAGGGGCCAGAACGGGAGCGGGGGAGGCGGCAGCGGGAGGUGGCGGCUUGGGCGCACACACGUGCAAAACGCGCGCUCUGGGCGCGCCCAGAGCACGCACGUGACGUGCUCGACAAAAUGACAGGGUGACCUAGAGUGCUUGAGCGAGGCUGGCAAAUAACCGGACUAGGUUAGAGUCUGCAAGAAAGUUAGUGGACAAACUGGUUUGUCCAGAGGUGCAAGGUCACAGUGCAAAGGCAAAAAUCAUGUCAAAACUGCCCAUGCACUUAAGGUAUUUGACAAAAUGCCAAUGGCAUCUAGGCAACUCUUGGGGUGGCCAAAUAUUCCAGAUCAAAGUCUAUUUAGAUGUAGGAGAGGAUGGCAAGUUUAGUUGGCCAAAUGUAGAAACUUGUUAGUGUAAGUUUUGCAAAACUCCAGUUCUGGACAGAAGGAAAAGGGUAUAAUAUCAUGUACCAAAAAUGCUCCAAUGAGUCCAACCUCCUGGACUUAAGGGUUUGCUAGGGUGGUCUACAAUCAGGAGAAAGAAUCAAGGGAAAAAGAGCAAGCAAAAACAUGGUUGCAAUACAAAUCACCAAGUUGAACCAGAAUGCAAAUGAGGAUGAUUCACUCAAUUUUUUCAAAGAGCAUCAAUGGGUUCUUGCAUAAAGAUGAAUAAUAUACUCCUAUUAACACCCCAUAAUUUUCGUGGAAGUUUUAAAGAAAUAUUUAAUUAGGUUGUAAUGCAAAAUUGCCCAAUGGACCAGAUUUGAAAAUUUGAUGUAGAGCUCAAAAUAUCGAAAAAAUGAUAUAUAAUUUUGCAUAAAAGUGAUUUAAAAACAUCACAUGACAUCCCCAAAUUUUGGUGGGAUUUUUAAAUGAAUUUAUAAAAGGGUUGCAGUUCAAAUGGGACCCUAAAAUUUAUGAAAAACCCUUUUGGAGGAAUAAAGCUCAGGAAAAAUAAUUAUAUAAAUAAUCCUACUGAUAAAAGAAUUGUUUUAUUUGAGAGGGUAACUAAGUCCAAUAAUGUUUGAAACUUUUUCACUUGGGGUAAAAACCUCAUAAAAAUAAAGAAAAGAAUGGUUCUGAAAUCAACAGGAAAUCUAGAAAAUAAAAGUUUAAGUUUCCUGGCAAAAUUUUAAUAAAUAAAACAUGGUUAAAUUUUUGGGGUGUCACAACACUACCCCCCUUAAGAAAAAUCUCGUCCUCGAGAUUUGUUAAGAGUUGUUUUCGAAAAUAUCAUUCCUGUUAGUUGAAACCAAAAGGUUUACUCAUAGUACAAACCUUGUGUCGUCAAGGUUGGUUUUUGGCAGCUACGUCCGAGGUUAAAAAUGCAAUCUCACAUCGACAUACUCAUGCAUGGCUACUAUUUAAAAUAGGGCGCACAAGCAACAGUAUUUAAUUACGGCGAUACAGGGUCACACAGUUACAAGGCGAGGACAUGCUAAGACUUGGUACUACUCGAGCGACUCUAGUCUACCUCGUUAAUAUCUAAGCGGGCGUGCCUUGCGGACGUCGAGGCUUCACCACGGUUUUCACCGUCGGGAUUAGCUGGAGGGGGUUGAGGGGCUACAGGGUCGGGGUAGCGAUGAUGACCAUUCCGGGGAUUGUUGGCCACAAUCCCGUUGGAAUGUGUUCCCAAAAGGCGACGAAGCACUUCUGGGGCCAUCAAGGUAUUAUGGUCGAUGGCUGGGGCAGACCUCAAGGACUCGAUCGGUUGUCCGAACAGCACGACUGGGCUAUCGGUGCCGGACUCCUCUUCUCCUCUUGCUGGGGCUCGGCGGGUCAGUUCUCCACGAGCUGCGAUCAGAUCAAGGGUGAUUUGAUCGAACAGUCCCUCUAGUACACAUAGCCUACCAGAUGCAAUAAUGCAGGAUCCAUCUCGUGGUCUCUGUUGGCAACUUGGGGUGGUCUACCAUAUCCGACACGGCUGGGGUAGUAGUAGAACGAGCGGCAGUUGACUCUGGGCGACAAGUGCCGGAGUUGAACUAUAGCCUCUCGAGCAGCUAGUUGGAUGGCUUGUGGCUCAAAGGAAGUUGUCCUUCCGGUGAACCUGUAGGGGCGUUCUGGCGAUAGACCCCUACCGUAGACGUGCAUAGUGGCCCAGAAUUGACGGCUCUCACCGCUCAUGGGUCCUUGGUACACAACAUAUUCUGGGGGCUCUUCUAACGCGAAGGCACGGCGGGUGAGGUUUGCUAGCACGGUCACAAAACCUCCAAGGUUGGUUGCCGUGGUCUCAUUGUGAACAAUGGGUCCUGGCAUUUUAGCUUGGUUUGGGCAGAGGUUGUGCUGUGCUAGGUUGGGGCUAGCGUGCCCUUUUUAUAAAAAAAAGAACGGAGUCUUCCUUCGCACGCUUGCGAAUGAGAUAAUUUUGGUGUCGGUCACUGGCGCGUGAUCGACAGGCUAGGCUGAUAGGUUGGGCACCGACUGCCAAAAAGGUGUCGAUCACUGUGUGGCUAUCUUACACGAGAAGCUUGGCCGGAGUUAGGUUAAGGCCUGGUGGGUUGGUUUACCUAGGUUUUUUUUUACCUGUCUAAGAUAGGAUUAGCCAAUGGUCAGCCUGGCUCUGAUACCAAGUUUGUCAGGACCGGAUUUUCGGGAUAUUAGUUUCCAGAAAAUGGCCCUUGUGCUCACCAGCCCCAGGAUUACUGUUAGCUGAUGAGGCAACAACUUGAUAUAGAAAUUCCAAGCAAAAUACAUAAUAUGUAGUACAAGACCUUUCUGGCCUAUGAGUACAACAAAUGGUUUCUAGUGGUUGAUGGCGGAAGCGGUUUGUGGAUCAUCAGCGUCUAUGGGACUCCAAUUCCCACAGGAAUAGCUGACCUGGUUAACUCCUAUCUUCGUGAGGCUGCUAUCACCGUUGCUUAGGUUCCGGGGCUGUCAUCGCAACGCUCCUCUCCAAGCAAGAAAUCUGGCCAAGACAAUAGCCAGGGACAAGCCAGUGAGUACUUUUGAAUGUACUCGCAAACAUUAUGAACAUGGGUAUGAUAUAACAACCAAUAAUCAUACUCUAAAAUAUUCUAUGCUCACAACGUCCGUCAUAAAAAUAAUAUCCAUGAUACAUGCAAGCAGGUUAUUUACGUAAAACAUGAAUAUGCAAUCAGAGAGUAAAAAUAAAAUGCACCGAGCGGGUGUCUGAAGCGACGCCUUGAAAGUAUAAUAAUAUAAGGCAUGCCUCAGUCGGGCGUCUGCGCGACACCACAUACAUGGCUUAUAAAGUAAAUAAAUAAUGAGCAUGCCACAGUCGGGCGUCUGAGCGACACCACAUAAAGGGCUUAUAAGGUAAACAGUAAGAAUGCCACAGUCGGGCGUCUGAGCGACACCACAUAAAGGGCUUAUAAGGUAAACAAUAAGAAUGCCACAGUCGGGCGUCUGAGCGACACCACAUAAAGGGCUUAUAAGGUAAACAAUAAGAAUGCCACAGUCGGGCGUCUGAGCGACACCACAUAAAGGGCUUAUAAGAAAACAAUCACAGUGAAUAUCCAGGAGGUAGAACCAUCCCAGGGAUACUCAAUAAUCCCAGUAAUAUGGUGGGUUAGUCCAUAAUAAUAAUAAUCACAAUCAUCAUAAUCAACACAAGUCACAGGUCAUGAUCCAUGUUCUGGUUUAGCAGUUUCUCCUCCGAAGACCGACACUAAGACCGACACUUGACCCAACCCAUACUGUAGUCCUUAACCAUGGACACGGCUAUUCGAAUAGAUUUAACCUCUGCAGAGGGUGUACUCUUUACCCACGAGUAACGGAUUCCUUAAGUCCAUCGGGACUAAUUUCGUCUACGGUCUUUUAAUUGAAAACACACCUGACUUGCACGCAACAGCUUAACUUACCGGUGUCUGGAAUCACCCACGAAACCUGUCAAGCAAAAACUCUAAAUGUGGAGGCUACAACCUCACAUAGCAUGGGAUCAAAUUUAUAUCACGCGCUCUAAGGGGUGCCCCCCCCUCUCGGUCCCAGCCGGAAACACCCAUGCCCCCGGACCAGGUGGCCUGCCUACCGGCUACACUCGGUAUCUUCGACCAUGGCCUCUCUGUACGGUGUGUGCUAGAAAGGGGUUGACAACUUACUAAACCAUACCCUACCUACUGUAGGGACAAGUGGUAGUACGAAACAAGUAUGGGGGUUACUGGAACAAGACUCGAUCUAUGGCCGACUCAGGAGGUUUAAGUAUUCCCUGCAUGAUUAGCUUAACGAAUAUAUUUCAUCCAACAGACAGGAUCACCACUCAUCAUACCCCAUCAUGCCGUACCGGACACACUCGUCUCGAAGAGGAACUACGGACAAGCUCGGGUCUACCCAAGACAGAGACUUUCCCGUUUUCCUUUCGGUAGGCGCGAAGGGCAUACGAGGAUGAUCACUAUCACAAGCAUGUCCAUUUCCAACAGCAAGGAAAUCCCCAAUAUGCAUUCAUGCAAAUGAUCGCGUCACCACAUAAAAUAAUGAGUUCUCCGUAUUAAGGUGGUGUUAUAAUCAUGUCAACCAACACACAAAAAUAUUAUGCCAGGGUUCAGAAUGCUUACCUUCAAGGGUAUGCAAGUGGGGUGUGCCUUUUGAAAGUUGACUUCUUCUUCCAAAACCUAUUUUCGAAAAUAUUCAAAUUAGCACAUACUUUAAAAACAGUACAAAAAAGUUGCUUGGAAAAUUUUCAAAUAAAUAUGAAAAUAAACUAGACAAUAUUUGGGAAACAACAGAAAAAGAAUCAAGUCAUUUGGAUUUAUAUCUAAAAAGUUAUAGCCUGUCAAACUUUAGUCAACUUUCUGUUUUUAAAAUAAAACUGAAAAAAAAAGAAAAACGUUUCGAAAAGGGUACACAUCGAAGUCGUACUUUGGGAAUACGCCUCCACUUAAAACACGUGGUGGCGGGGCUGGGUCACUGACACUGGGUCCAGCGGCCCCACUGGUCAGGUUUGACUAGUCCCCCGCCUUCUCCCUCCUCUCUCCGAGCCGAGGCGGGGGCUCCGACGAUCGACGCCGGCGAACGGCGGCUCCUCGCGGGGCUCUGAGGGCGGGGAUGGAUCCGCCACUCCCGGGCGGUCCUCCCGGUGGUCGAGAGGGUGGCGGGAAUGAAGGGAGUCGCCGGCGGCGAGCCUUGCGGCGGACGGCAGCUUCGGGAGGUUUGGGGGUUUGGGUUAUGGUGCUUCCCGAUUGACGCUGAGAGGGUGGGUGGCUCUGCACGGUUGGGGGGAGAAGGAUGGAAGCACGGGAGGGGUUUGGGGGCCUCGGUCUUGGCCGGAUUUCACCGGAGUGUGGCGGCGGCCGAACCUGUCAGGGAUGAGGAAGAUGGCCGUCAUUCGCCGAUUGCUGGCUACGGGAGGGCUCUAGGGGGGUGGCUCGAGGCUGCCUGAGUGCUGGGACGAGCUCGGGGUCCCCUUUUAUAGUGCAACGAGGUUGGUUCCGCGGCGGCAGUGGAUCGGGACACCGGCGAACCGCCGUUCUGUAGCUAGGGGCGACGUGGAGGUGGUUGGAGCUGGUCGGCGCACUCCGACGAACUCCACACUGCUCAAGGGGCGAGCUGGCGCGCGUGUGUGGCUCGGGCGGCGCUAUCCAGGGCAUAGGUUGUCGGGGCGGCGGUGGCGGCCUGCGGUGGUGAUGUUGUGGUGCGCCAGGAGGGGGGGCCAGGGUGGCUCUGCGGCGAGGGAGGGGUCGGGACGCUGGCUGCGAGUGGAAGGGGCCAGAACGGGUGCGGGGGAGGCGGCAGCGGGACGCGGCGGCUCGGGCGCACGCACGUGCAAAACGCGCGCUCUGGCCGCGCCCAGAGCACGCACGCGACGUGCUCGACAAAAUGCCAGGGUGACCUAGAGUGCUUGAGCGAGGCUGGCAAAUAACCGGACUAGGUUAGAGUCUGCAAGAAAGUUAGUGGACAAACUGGUUUGUCCAGAGGUGCAAGGUCACAGUGCAAAGGCAAAAAUCAUGUCAAAACUGCCCAUGCACUUAAGGUGUUUGACAAAAUGCCAAUGGCAUCUAGGCAACUCUUGGGUGGCCAAAUAUUCCAGAUCAAAGUCUCUUUAGAUGUAGGAGAGGAUGGCAAGGUUAGUUGGCCAAAUCUAGAAACUUGUUAGUGUAAGUUUUGCAAAAGUCUAGUUCUGGACAGAAGGAAAAGGGUAUAAUAUCAUGUACCAAAAAUGCUCCAAUGAGUCCAACCUCCUGGACUUAAGGGUUUGGUAGGGUGGUCUAGAAUUAGGAGAAAGAAUCAAGGGAAAAAGAGCAAGCAAAAAUAUGGUUGCAAUACAAAUCACCAAGUUGAACCAGAAUGCAAAUGAGGAUGAUUCACUCAAUUUUCUCAAAGAGCAUCAAUGGGUUUUUGCAUAAAGAUGAAUAAUAUACUCCUAUUAACACCCCAUAAUUUUGGUGGAAGUUUUAAAGAAAUAUUUAAUUAGGUUGUAGUGCAAAAUUACCCACUGGACCAGAUUUGAAAAUUUGAUGUAGACCUCAAAAUAUCCAAAGAAUGAAAUAUAUUUUUGCAUAAAAGUGAUUUAAAAACAUCACAUGACAUCCCCAAAUUUUGGUGGGAUUUUUAAAUGAAUUUAUAAAAGGGUUGCAGUUCAAAUGGGACCCUAAAAUUUAUGAAAAACCCUUUUGGAGGAAUAAAGCUCAGGAAAAAUAAUUAUAUAAAUAAUCCUACUGAUAAAAGAAUUGUUUUAUUUGAGAGGGUAACUAAGUCUAAUAAUGUUUGAAACUUUUUCACUUGGGGUAAAAACCUCAUAAAAAUAAAGAAAAGAAUGGUUCUGAAAUCAACAGGAAAUCUAGAAAAUAAAAGUUUAAGUUUCCUGGCAAAAUUUUAAUAAAUAAAACAUGGUUAAAUUUUUGGGGUGUCACAACACUACCCCCCUUAAGAAAAAUCUCGUCCUCGAGAUUUGUUAAGAGUUGUUUUCGAAAAUAUCAUUCCUGUUAGUUGAAACCAAAAGGUUUACUCAUAGUACAAACCUUGUGUCGUCAAGGUUGGUUUUUGGCAGCUACGUCCGAGGUUAAAAAUGCAAUCGCACAUCGACAUACUCAUGCAUGGCUACUAUUUAAAAUAGGGCGCACAAGCAACAGUAUUUAAUUACGGCGAUACAGGGUCACACAGUUACAAGGCGAGGACAUGCUAAGACUUGGUACUACUCGAGCAACUCUAGUCUACCUCGUUAAUAUCUAAGCGGGCGUGCCUUGCGGACUUCGAGGCUUCGCCACGGUUUUCACCAUCGGGAUUAGCUGGAGGGGGUUGAGGGGCUGCAGGGUCGGGGUAGCGAUGAUGACCAUUCCGGGGAUUGUUGGCCACAAUCCCGUUGGAAUGUGUUCCCAAAAGGCGACGAAGCACUUCUGGGGCCAUCGAGGUAUUAUGGUCGAUGGCUGGGGCAGACCUCAAGGACUCGAUCGGUUGUCCGAACAGCACGACUGGGCUGUCGGUGUCGGGCUCCUCUUCUCCUCUUGCUGGGGCUCGGCGGGUCAGUUCUCCACGAGCUGCGAUCAGAUCAGGGGUGAUUUGAUCGAACAAUCCCUCUAGUACACAUAGCGUACCAGAUGCAAUAAUGCAGGAUCCGUCUCGUGGUCUCCGUUGGCAACUUGGGGUGGUCUACCAUAUCCGUCACGGCUGGGGUAGUAGUAGAACGAGCGGUAGUUGACUCUGGGCGACAAGUGUCGGAGUUGAACUAUAGCCUCUCGAGCAGCUAGUUGGAUGGCUUGUGGCUCAAAGGAAGUUGUCCUUCCGGUGAACCUGUAGGGGCGUUCUGGCGAUAGACCCCUACCGUAGACGUGCACAGUGGCCCAGAAUUGACGGCUCUCACAGCUCAUGGGUCCUUGGUACACAACAUAUUCUGGGGGCUCUUCUAUCGCGAAGGCACGGCGGGUGAGGUUUGCUAGCACGGUCACAAAACCUCCAAGGUUGGUUGCCGUGGUCUCAUUGUGAACAAUGGGUCCUGGCAUUUUAGCUUGGUUUGGGCAGAGGUUGUGCUGUGCUGGGUUUGGGCUAGCAUGCCCUUUAUUAAAAAAAAGGACGGAGUCUUCCUUCGCACGCUUGCGAAUGACAUAAUUUUGGUGUCGGUCACUGGCGCGUGAUCGACAGGCUAGGCUGAUAGGUUGGGCACUGACUGCCAAAAAGGUGACGGUCACUGUGUGGCUAUCUUACACGAGAAACUUGGCCGGGGUUAGGUUAAGGCCUGGUGGGUUGGUUUACCUAGGUUUUUUUUGACCUGUCUAAGAUAGGAUUAGCCAAUGGCCAGCCUGGCUCUGAUACCAAGUUUGUAAGGACCGGAUUUUUGGGAUAUUAGUUUCCAGAAAAUGGCCCUUAUGCUCACCAGCCCCAGGAUUACUGUUAGCUGAUGAGGCAACUACUUGAUACAGAAAUUCCAAGCAAAAUACAUAAUAAGUAGUACAAGACCAUUCUGGCCUAUGAGUACAACAAAUGGUUUCUAGUGGUUGACGGCGGAAGCGGUUUGUGGAUCAUCAGUGUCUAUGGGACUCCAAUUCCCACAGGAACAGCAGACCAGGUUAACUUAUCUUCGUGAGGCUGCUAUCACCGUUGCUUAGGUUCCCGGGCUGUCAUCACAACGCUCCUCUCCAAGCAAGAAAUCUGGCCAAGACAAUAGCCAGGGACAAGCCAGUGAGUACUUUUGAAUGUACUCGCAAACAUUAUGAACACGGGUAUGAUAUAACAACCAAUAAUCAUACUCUAAAAUAUUCUAUGCUCACAACGUCCGUCAUAAAAAUAAUAUCCCUGAUACAUGCAAGUAGGUUAUUUAUGUAAAACAUGAAUAUGCAAUCAGAGAGUAAAAAUAAAAUGCACCGAGCGGGUGUCUGAAGCGACGCCUCGAAAGGAUAAUAAUAUAAGGCAUGCCUCAGUCGGGCGUCUGCGCGACACCACAUACAGGGCUUAUGAAGUAAAUAAAUAAUGAGCAUGCCACAGUCGGGCGUCUGAGCGACACCACAUAAAGGGCUUAUAAGGUAAACAAUAAGAAUGCCACAGUCGGGCGUCUGAGCGACACCACAUAAAGGGCUUAUAAGGUAAACAAUAAGAAUGCCACAGUCGGGCGUUUGAGCGACACCACAUAAAGGGCUUAUAAGAAAACAAUCACAGUGAAUAUCCAAGAGGUAGACCCGUCCUAGGGAUACUCAAUAAUCCCAGUAAUAUGGUGGGUUAGUCCAUAAUAAUAAUAAUCACAAUCAUCAUAAUCAACACAAGUCACAGGUCAUGAUCCAUGUUCUGGUUUAGCAGUUUCUCCUCCGAAGACCGACACUAAGACCGACACUUGACCCAACCCAUACUGUAGUCCUUAACCAUGGACAUGGCUAUUCGAAUAGAUUUAACCUCUGCAGAGGGUGUACUCUUUACCCACGAGUAACGGAUUCCUUUAGUCCAUCGGGACUAAUACCGUCUACGGUCUUUUAAUUGAAAACACACCUGACUUGCACACACCAGCUUAACUUACCGUUGUCUCGAAUCACCCACGACAUCUGUCAAGCAAAAACUCUAAGUGUGGAGGCUACAACCUCGCAUAGCAUGGGAUCAAAUUUAUAUCGCGCGCUCUAAGGGGUGCCCCCCUCUCGGUCCCAACCGGAAACACCCAUGCCGCCGGACCAAGUGGCCUGCCUACCGGCUGUAGUCGGUAUCUUCCACCAUGGCCUCUCUGUACGGUGUGUGCUAGAAAGGGGUUGACAACUUACUGAACCGUACCCUACCUGCUGUAGGGACAAGUGGUAGUAUGAAACAAGUAUGGGGGUUACUGGAACAAGACUCGAUCUAUGGCCGACUCAGGAGGUUUAAGUAUUCCCUGCAUGAUUAGCUUAACGAAUAUAUUUCAUCCAACAGACAGGAUCACCACUCAUCAUACCCCAUCAUGCCAUACCGGACACACUCGUAUCGACGAGGAACUAGGGAUAAGCUCGGGUCUACCCAAGACAGAGACUUUCCCGUUUUCCUUCCGGUAGGCGCGAAUGGCAUACGAGGAUGAUCACUAUCACAAGCAUGUCCAUUUCCAACAGCAAGGAAAUCCCCAAUAUACAUUCAUGCAAAUGAUCGCGUCACCACAUAAAAUAACGAGUUCUCCGUAUUAAGGUGGUGUUAUAAUCAUGUCAACCAACACACAAAAAUAUUAUGCCGGGGUUCAGAAUGCUUACCUUCAAGGGUAUGCAAGUGGGGUGUGCCUUUUGAAAGUUGACUUCUUCUUCAAAUACCUAUUUUCAAAAAUAUUCAAAUUAACACAUACUUUAAAAACAGUACAAAAAAGUUACUUGGAAAAUUUUCAAAUAAAUAUGAAAAUAAACUAGACAAUAUUUGGGAAACAGCAUAAAAAGAAUCAAGUUAUUUGGAUUUAUAUCUAAAAAUUAUAGCCUGUCAAAGUUUAGUCAACUUUCUUUUUUUAAAAUAAAACUGAAAAAAAAGAAAAACGUUUCGAAAAGGGUACACGUCGAAGACGUACUUUGGGAAUACGCCUCCACUUAAAACACGUGGUGGUGGAGCUGGGUCACUGACACUGGGUCCAGCGGCCCCACUAGUCAGGUUUGACUAGUCCCCCGCCUUCUUCCUCCUCUGUCCGAGCCGAGGCGGGGGCUCCGGCUAUCGACGCCGGCGAACGGCGGCUCCUCGCGGGGCUCUAAGGGCGGGGAUGGAUCCGCCACUCCCGUGCGGUCCUCCCGGUGGUCGAGAGGGUGGCGGGGACGAAGGGAGUCGCCGGCGGCGAGCCUUGCGGCGGACGGCAGCUUCGGGAGGUUUGGGGGUUUGGGUUAUGGUGCUUCUCGAUCGACGCUGAGAGGGUGGGUGGCUCUGCACGGUUGGGGGGAGAAGGAUGGAAGCACAGGAGGGGUUUGGGGGCCUCGGUCUUGGCCGAAUUUCACCGGAGUGUGGCGGCGGCCGAACCUGUCGGGGACGAGGAAGAUGGCCGUCAUUCUCCGAUUGCUGGCUACGGGGGGGGGGCUCUAGGGGGGUGGCUCGAGGCUGCCUGAGUGCUGGGACGAGCUCGGGGUCCCCUUUUAUAGUGCAACGAGGUCGGUUCCGCGGCGGCAGUGGAUAGGGACGCAGCGAACCGCCAUUCUGUAGCUAGGGGCGACGUGGAGGUGGUUGGAGCUGGUCGGCGCACUCCGAUGAACUCCACACUGCUCAAGGGGCAAGCUGGCGCGCGUGUGUGGCUCGGGCGCCGCCGUCCAGGGCAGAGGUUGUCGGGGCGGCGCUGGCGGCAUGCGGUUGUGAUGCUGUGGUGCGCCAGGAGGGGGGCAGGGUGGCGCUGCGGCGAGGGAGGCGGGACGCUGGCUGCGAGUGGAAGGGGCCAGAACGGGUGCGGGGGAGGCGGCAGCGGGACGCGGUGGCUCGGGCGCAUGCACGUGCAAAACGCGCGCUCUAGCCGCGCCCAGAGCACGCACGCGACAUGCUCAACAAAAUGCCAGGGUGACCUAGAGUGCUUGAGCGAGGCUGGCAAAUAACCGGACUAGGUUAGAGUCUGCAAGAAAGUUAGUGGACAAACUGGUUUGUCCAGAGGUGCAAGGUCACAGUGCAAAGGCAAAAAUCAUGUCAAAACUGCCCAUGCACUCAAGGUGUUUGACAAAAUGCCAAUGGCAUCUAGGCAACUCUUGGGGUGGCCAAAUAUUCCAGAUCAAAGUCUAUUUAGAUGUAGGAGAGGAUGGCAAGGUUAGUUGGCCAAAUCUAGAACCUUGUUAGUGUAAGUUUUGCAAAACUCCAGUUCUGGACAGAAGGAAAAGGGUAUAAUAUCAUGUACCAAAAAUGCUCCAAUGAGUCCAACCUCCUGGACUUAAGGGUUUGGUAGGGUGGUCUAGAAUCAGGAGAAAGAAUCAAGGGAAAAAGAGCAAGCAAAAAUAUGGUUUCAAUAAAAAUCACCAAGUUGAACCAGAAUGCAAAUGAGGAUGAUUCACUCAAUUUUUUCAAAGAGCAUCAAUGGGUUUUUGCAUAAAGAUGAAUAAUAUACUCCUAUUAACACCCCAUAAUUUUGGUGGAAGUUUUAAAGAAAUAUUUAAUUAGGUUGUAGUGCAAAAUUGCCCACUUGACCAGAUUUGAAAAUUUGAUGUAGAGCUCAAAAUAUCCAAAGAAUGAUAUAUAUUUUUGCAUAAAAGUGAUUUAAAAACAUCACAUGACAUCCCCAAAUUUUGGUGGGAUUUUUAAAUGAAUUUAUAAAAGGGUUGCAGUUCAAAUGGAACCCUAAAACUUAUGAAAACCCCUUUUAGAGGAAUAAAGCUCAGGAAAAAUAAUUAUAUAAAUAAUCCUACUGAUAAAAGAAUUGUUUUAUUUGAGAGGGUAAAUAAGUCCAAUAAUGUUUGAAUUUUUUUCACUUGGGGUAAAAACCUCAUAAAAAUAAAGAAAAGAAUGGUUCUGAAAUCAAUAGGAAAUCCUGAAAAUAAAAGUUUAAGUUUCCUGGCAAAAUUUUAAUAAAUAAAACAUGGUUAAAUUUUUGGGGUGUCACAACACUACCCCCCUUAAGAAAAAUCUCGUCCUCAAGAUUUGUUAAGAGUUGUUUUCGAAAAUAUCAUUCCUGUUAGUUGAAACCAAAAGGUUUACUCAUAGUACAAACCUUGUGUCGUCAAGGUUGGUUUUUGGCAGCUACGUCCGUGGUUAAAAAUGCAAUCGCACAUCGACAUACUCAUGCAUGGCUACUAUUUAAAAUAGGGCGCACAAGCAACAGUAUUUAAUUACGGCGAUACAGGUUCACACAGUUACAAGGCGAGGACAUGCUAAGACUUGGUACUACUCGAGCAACUCUAGUCUACCUCGUUAAUAUCUAAGCGGGCGUGCCUUGCGGACUUCGAGGCUUCGCCACGGUUUUCACCAUCGGGAUUAGCUGGAGGGGGUUGAGGGGCUGCAGGGUCGGGGUAGCGAUGAUGACCAUUCCGGGGAUUGUUGGCCACAAUCCCGUUGGAAUGUGUUCCCAAAAGGCGACGAAGCACUUCUGGGGCCAUCGAGGUAUUAUGGUCGAUGGCUGGGGCAGACCUCAAGGACUCGAUCGGUUGUCCGAACAGCACGACUGGGCUGUCGGUGCCGGGCUCCUCUUUUCCUCUUGCUGGGGCUCGGCGGGUCAGUUCUCCACGAGCUGCGAUCAGAUCAAGGGUGAUUUGAUCGAACAGUCCCUCUAAUACACAUACCGUACCAGAUGCAAUAAUGCAGGAUCCAUCUCGUGGUCUCCGUUGGCAACUUGGGGUGGUCUACCAUAUCCGUCACGGCUGGGGUAGUAGUAGAACGAGCGGCAAUUGACUCUGGGCGACAAGUGCCGGAGUUGAACUAUAGCCUCUCGAGCAGCUAGUUGGAUGGCUUGUGGCUCAAAGGAAGUUGUCCUUCCGGUGAACCUGUAGGGGCAUUCUGGUGAUAGACCCCUACCGUAGACGUGCACAGUGGCCCAGAAUUGAUGGCUCUCACCGCUCAUGGGUCCUUGGUACACAACAUAUUCUGGGGGCUCUUCUAACGCGAAGGCACGGCGGGUGAGGUUUGCUAGCACGGUCACAAAACCUCCAAGGUUGGUUGCCGUGGUCUCAUUGUGAACAAUUGGUCCUGGCAUUUUAGCUUGGUUUGGGCAGAGGUUGUGAUGUGCUGGGUUGGGGCUAGCGUGCCCUUUUUAUAAAAAAAAGGACGGAGUCUUCCUUCGCACGCUUGCGAAUGAGAUAAUUUUGGUGUCGGUCACUGGCGCGUGAUCGACAGGCUAGGCUGAUAGGUUGGGCACCGACUGCCAAAAAGGUGUUGGUCACUGUGUGGCUAUCUUACACGAGAAGCUUGGCCGGGGUUAGGUUAAGGCCUGGUGGGUUGGUUUACCUAGGUUUUUUUUUGACCUGUCUAAGAUAGGAUUAGCCAAUGGUCAGUCUGGCUUUGAUACCAAGUUUGUCAGGACCGGAUUUUCGGGAUAUUAGUUUCCAGAAAAUUGCCCUUGUGCUCACCAGCCCCAGGAUUACUGUUAGCUGAUGAGGCAACAACUUGAUACAGAAAUUCCAAGCAAAAUACACAAUAUGUAGUACAAGACCUUUCUGGCCUAUGAGUACAACAAAUGGUUUCUAGUGGUUGAUGGCGGAAGCGGUUUGUGGAUCAUCAGCGCCUAUGGGACUCCAAUUCCCACAGGAACAGCUGACCUGAUUAACUCCUAUCUUCGUGAGGCUGCUAUCACCGUUGCUUAGGUUCCGGGGCUGUCAUCGCAACGCUCCUCACCAAGCAAGAAAUCUGGCCAAGACAAUAGCCAGGGACAAGCCAGUGAGUACUUUUGAAUGUACUCGCAAACAUUAUGAACACGGGUAUGAUAUAACAACCAGUAAUCAUACUCUAAAAUAUUCUAUGCUCACAACGUCCGUCAUAAAAAUAAUAUCCCUGAUACAUGCAAGCAGGUUAUUUAUGUAAAACAUGAAUAUUCAAUCAGAGAGUAAAAAUAAAAUGCACCGAGCGGGUGUCUGAAGCGACGCCUCGAAAGGAUAAUAAUAUAGGGCAUGCCUCAGCCGGGCGUCUGCGCGACACCACAUACAUGGCUUAUAAAGUAAAUAAAUAAUGAGCAUGCCACAGUCGGGCGUCUGAGCGACACCACAUAAAGGGCUUAUAAGGUAAACAAUAAGAAUGCCACAGUCGGGCGUCUGAGCGACACCACAUAAAGGGCUUAUAAGGUAAACAAUAAGAAUGCCGCAGUCGGGCGUCUGAGCGACACCACAUAAAGGUCUUAUAAGGUAAACAAUAAGAAUGCCACAGUCGGGCGUCUGAGCGACACCACAUAAAGGGCUUAUAAUAAAACAAUCACAGUGAAUAUCCAGGAGGUAGAACCGUCCCAGGGAUACUCAAUAAUCCCAGUAAUAUGGUGGGUUAGUCCAUAAUAAUAAUAAUCACAAUCAUCAUAAUCAACACAAGUCACAGGUCAUGAUCCAUGUUCUGGUUUAGCAGUUUCUCCUCAGAAGACCGACACUUGACCCAACCCAUACUGUAGUCCUUAACCAUGGACACGUCUAUUCGAAUAGAUUUAACCUCUGCAGAGGGUGUACUCUUUACCCACGAGUAACGGAUUCCUUUAGUCCAUCGGGACUAAUUCCGUCUACGGUCUUUUAAUUGAAAACACACCUGACUUGCACACACCAGCUUAACUUACCGGUGUCUGGAAUCACCCACGACACCUGUCAAGCAAAAACUCUAAGUGUGGAGGCUACAACCUCGCAUAGCAUGGGAUCAAAUUUAUAUCGCGCGCUCUAAGGGGUGCCCCCGCCCCCUCUCGGUCCGAACCGGAAACACCCAUGCCCCCGGACCAGGUGGCCUGCCUACCGGCUGCAGUCGGUAUCUUCCACCAUGACCUCUCUGUACAGGGACUUUCCCGUUUUCCUUUCGGUAGGCGCGAAGGGCAUACGAGGAUGAUCACUAUCACAAGCAUGUCCAUUUCCAACAGCAAGGAAAUCCCCAAUAUGCAUUCAUGCAAAUGAUCGCGUCACCACAUAAAAUAACGAGUUCUCCCUAUUAAGGUGGUGUUAUAAUCAUGUCAACCAACACACAAAAAUAUUACGCCAGGGUUCAGAAUGCUUACCUUCAAGGGUAUGCAAGUGGGGUGUACCUUUUGAAAGUUGUCUUCUUCUUCAAAAACCUAUUUUCGAAAAUAUUCAAAUUAACACAUACUUUAAAAACAGUACAAAAAGUUGCUUGGAAAAUUUUCGAAUAAAUAUGAAAAUAAACUAGACAAUAUUUGGGAAACAACAGAAAAAGAAUCAAGUCAUUUGGAUUUAUAUCUAAAAAGUUAUAGCCUGUCAAACUUUAGUCAACUUUUUGUUUUUAAAAUAAAACUGAAAAAAAAUGUUUCGAAAAGGGUACACGUCAAAGUCGUACUUUGGGAAUACGCCUCCACUUAAAACACGUGGUGGCGGGGCUGGGUCACUAACACUAGGUCCAGCGGCCCCACUGGUCAGGUUUGACUAGUCCCCCGCCUUCUUCCUCCUCUGUCCGAGCCGAGGCGGGGGCUCCGGCGAUCGACGCCGGCGAACGACGGCUCCUCGCGGGGCUCUGAGGGCGGGGAUGGAUCCGCCACUCCCGGGCGGUCCUCCCGAUGGUCGAGAGGGUGGCGGGGACGAAGGGAGUCGCCGGCGGCGAGCCUUGCGGCGGACGGCAGCUUCGGGAGGUUUGGGGGUUUGGGUUAUGGUGCUUCCCGAUCGACGCUGAGAGGGUGGGUGGCUCCGCACGGUUGGGGGAGAAGGAUGGAAGCACGGGAGGGGUUUGGGGGCCUCGGUCUUGGCCGGAUUUCACCGGAGUGUGGCGGCGGCCGAACCUGUCGGGGACGAGGAAGAUGGCCGUCAUUCACCGAUUGCUGGCUACGGGAGGGCUCUAGGGGGGUGGCUCGAGGCUGCCUGAGUGCUGGGACGAGCUCGGGGUCCCCUUUUAUAGUGCAACGAGGUUGGUUCCGCGGCGGCAGUGGAUCGGGACACCGGCGAACCGCCGUUCUGUAGCUAGGGGCGACGUGGAGGUGGUUGGAGCUGGUCGGCGCACUCCGACGAACUCCACACUGCUCAAGGGGCGAGCUGGCGCGCGUGUGUGGCUCGGGCGGCGCUAUCCAGGGCAGAGGUUGUCGGGGCGGCGGUGGCGGCCUGCGGUGGUGAUGUUGUGGUGCGCCAGGAGGGGGGGCCAGGGUGGCUCUGCGGCGAGGGAGGGGUCGGGACGCUGGCUGCGAGUGGAAGGGGCCAGAACGGGUGCGGGGGAGGCGGCAGCGGGACGCGGCGGCUCGGGCGCACGCACGUGCAAAACGCGCGCUCUGGCCGCGCCCAGAGCACGCACGCGACGUGCUCGACAAAAUGCCAGGGUGACCUAGAGUGCUUGAGCGAGGCUGGCAAAUAACCGGACUAGGUUAGAGUCUGCAAGAAAGUUAGUGGACAAACUGGUUUGUCCAGAGGUGCAAGGUCACAGUGCAAAGGCAAAAAUCAUGUCAAAACUGCCCAUGCACUCAAGGUGUUUGACAAAAUGCCAAUGGAAUCUAGGCAACUCUUGGGGUGGCCAAAUAUUCCAGAUCAAAGUCUCUUUAGAUGUAGGAGAGGAUGGCAAGGUUAGUUGGCCAAAUCUAGAAACUUGUUAGUGUAAGUUUUGCAAAAGUCUAGUUCUGGACAGAAGGAAAAGGGUAUAAUAUCAUGUACCAAAAAUUCUCCAAUGAGUCCAACCUCCUGGACUUAAGGGUUUGGUAGGGUGGUCUAGAAUCAGGAGAAAGAAUCAAGGGAAAAAGAGCAAGCAAAAAUAUGGUUGCAAUACAAAUCACCAAGUUGAACCAGAAUGCAAAUGAGGAUGAUUCACUCAAUUUUUUCAAAGAGCAUCAAUGGGUUUUUGCAUAAAGAUGAAUAGUAUACUCCUAUUAACACCCCAUAAUUUUGGCGGAAGUUUUAAAGAAAUAUUUAAUUAGGUUGUAGUGCAAAAUUGCCCACUGGACCAGAUUUGAAAUUUUGAUGUAGAGCUCAAAAUAUCCAAAGAAUGAAAUAUAUUUUUGCAUAAAAGUGAUUUAAAAACAUCACAUGACAUCCCCAAAUUUUGGUGGGAUUUUUAAAUGAAUUUAUAAAAGGGUUGCAGUUCAAAUGGGACCCUAAAACUUAUGAAAAAUCCUUUUAGAGGAAUAAAGCUCAGGAAAAAUAAUUAUAUAAAUAAUCCUACUGAUAAAAGAAUUGUUUUAUUUGAGAGGGUAAAUAAGUACAAUAAUGUUUGAAAAGUUUUCACUUGGGGUAAAAACCUCAUCAAAAUAAAGAAAAGAAUGGUCCUGAAAUCAAUAGGAAAUCCAGAAAAUAAAAGUUUAAGUUUCCUGGCAAAAUUUUAAUAAAUAAAACACGGUUAAAUUUUUGGGGUGUCACAGACAAUCUCUAUGGACUAAUGGUUGCUUUGAGUUAUAUUUGAAAGGUUAUCCAUAGGCAAUGCUUGAAGACCAUAUGUUGGUUUCAAGGUUGAAAGAAGAAUAUUAUUUGUUGACCAAGGUGUUAUUCAUGGAGUUAUCCAAAUAUUGGUCAUGUGAGAGUUGAGUAUAUUGCAAGCAUGUCUUGAAAAUAAGAUUAUUUGAACAUUCAUGUUGCCUUUAAUACAUCAUCUUUAUGAAGAGAGAAGAUAAGAUACAAGGUUGAUCAAGACUAAGUACAAAGAAUGGAUUCAAGUUGAUGAACACACAAAGCAUAGAAGAUGUACCGAGUCGAAUCAAGUGAUCUCACGAUAUGGUAAGCAUUGUCCAUUAUGCUUUGUGUAACCCAUGAUCUAUUUGUGUGGUGUUCCUAUGUGGGGCUAGUUUUUUUCCAUGGGCUUACAUCAAGAGGAAGAUAUCAGAUAACCCAUGGAGGAUGACAUCAUGUGGUGAUCGUCAUCAAUGUUGUGUUGUGCAAGUUCAAGUGGAGCAUCACAAAGAGAUCACAUGCUUGAAGCUUGCCAUCCAUUCUGGUGAUAAUGGAGUUGUGAAGAUGUGCCAAAGAGAGGCCAACCCAUAGUGGAGUAUGGGGGAGCAAUAUAUUGGUCUUCAUCGAGCUAGCGCAAUCAGAAAGGUGGUCCAACAUGAGGAGGACGAGAUCAUCAUCGUCUAGCUCAAGUGGACUAUGCGCAAGGCAAAGGUUUGACCUUAAUAGGUUUUCUGUUUUACCGAUCUGAUGGUGUUAGUUGGGAGACCGGGUUGAAGGAUUGAUUGACGUACUAUCAAGGGGGCUCUCGAGUGAGUAGCUUGAGCGUAUCAUUCAUAGAGAGCUCAAACCAUUGCAUCAUUGGCAUCAUCUUUCUUGGUUCUUGUUUGGCUUUUCCCUAUGUGAGUUUUGGAGCUUGUGGUCAUCUCCGUGGCAAGUUCAAGUUGAUCAAAAAUGGAUUUCAUAUGCAGCAUGUAUUGUGUUUUCGAUGUAGGAGUUUUUGCCAGUUCUUCACUCAUGUAUAUUUCACACCUCUAUUGUGAUUUGACAACUCUUGUAGUUACCUUUCUAUCAAGUUUCAAUUCAUCAAUAUCAAAGUGGUGGUACCGCUUGCUACUGGUGGUAGUACUGCUUAUGCAGUACUUUCGCUGGUUGGUGCCGUGGCUACCUCUGGUUGUGUUUAGUCUUCUGUAUGCCUCUGGCAAUUCGCGGUAGUGCCACUGCUUCCAACGGUAGUACCGCUUGAUGCGGUUCUUCCGCUCUGGCGCCGCUUGAACUACUGCUGGUUUGUCUGUUAGCCUAUUGACAAUUAGCGACAGUAUCGCUUGUUGUAGCCGGUGGGACCGCUCCGGCAGAACUAGGAUGCGAGUACCACUGUGGUACUCGAUGAGCCUUAGUGAAACUGCCGCUCUUAGCAGUAGUACCGCUUGAGCAUGACCAGUGCAUAAUGGUCUUAUUCUUGCCCCCACUAUAAAAGGGGGUCUUCUUCACCAUUGCUCCUAGCAACUUUGAGCAAGCUUUCUCCUCCAUUAUUGACCUCUAAAAGCUUUGCUUUAUCUCUAUCCCUCCCAUGGUUCUUGCAUCAUUUUGAGGGGAAAGAGAUAGGAUAUCUAGAUUCUAUAUCUACAUUUCCACCAAUCCAUCUUACGUCUAAGUGAGGGGAACCCUUUGGAUCUAAAUCUUCGAGUUCUUUUGUGUUCUCCUUGUUCUUCCUCACAUAUUCCACCAUAGCUUUCGUUAAUUUGUGGGAUUUGAGAGAUGUGGGACUUGAGCACUUAGUGUGUUCUUGCCAUUACAUUAGUUGCAUCGGUUUGAGUUCUCCAUGAUGAUACAUGGAAGUGAAAGUCGAGAAGCUUACUAGUACCUUUUGGGUAUUUGGGUGUCCUAGAUGAUUGGUGGUGUCUCAAAGCUCAAUCAUUGUUGUGUAAAGCUUCGAGAAAGCUUUGGGGUCUCUAAUACGUCCAUUUUAUAUCAUGUUUUCCUACUACUAUUUCUAAUGCUUUAUAGCUAUAUUUCACCUUUGAUGCAAUUCCAAUGCCUUUUCUCUCUUAAUUGCCAGUUAUAUCACAAGAGGAAGAUUGCCGACAGCUGGAAUUCUGGACCUGAAAAGUGCUACAACAGAGAUAGCUAUUCUCUUGAGCUCCAAAUGACCUAAAUUUUUCCAAAGAUUUGUUUUGAAAUAUAUAAAAAAUACUAGAAGCAAAAUGCACUGAAGGGGACGCACUAGGGAGCUACAAGCUCGGGGGCGCGCCCACCCCCUGGGGUGCACCUGGUGAGCUUAUGAGUCCCACAGAAGGUCUAUGUGGCCCAUCGUCUCCUAUAUGAAGCCAUUUUCCCUAUAAAAAUAAUCAAGAGAAGACUUUUGGAACGAAGCGCCACCGUCUCGAGGCGGAACCUGGGCAGGAGCAAUUUUGCUCUGUGGCAAAGCGAUUCCACCGGGGAAACUUCCCUCUGGGAGGGGGAAAUCAAAGCCAUCAUCAUCAUCAACGUUCCUUUCAUCAUGGGAGGACUCAUCUCCGUCAACAUCUUCACUAGCACCAUCUCACUUCAAACCCUAGUUCAUCUCUUGUAUUCAAUCUUUGUCUCAAACCUCAGAGUGGUACAUGUGGGUUGCUAGUAGUGUUGAUUACAUCUUGUAGUUGAUUUACUUGGUGGAAGAUCAUAUCUUUAGAUUUUUAAUCAUAUAUUAUUCUCCUCUUAUCAUGAACAUGAAUAUGAUGUGUGAGUAGUUUCUUUUAUUCUUGAGGAAACAGGAGAAGUCUUGUUGUAAGUAAUCAUGUGAAGUUGGUUUUCAUUCAAUAUUUUGAUGAUGUGCUAUGUUGUUCUUCCUCUAGUGGUGUCAUGUGAAUGUCGACUACAUGUCACAUUAUCAUGUUUGAGCCUAGGGGAAGGCAUUGUGGGAUUAGUCAGUAGAUGAUGGGUUGCUAGAGUGAUAGAAGCUUAAAUCCUAGUUUAUGCGCUAUUUCGUAAGGGGCUGAUUUGGAUCCAUAUGUUUCAUGCUAUGGUUGGAUUUAUCUUAAUUCUUCUUUCGUAGUUGUGGAUGCUUGCGAGAGGGGAUAAGCAUAUCUAGAUUAAGGAUAUGGAUGUACUCAUAUAGAAAUUUAAUGGUAUUAAUUUUAUAAUUUGUUUGGACGUGUGUUAGUGGUUCUAAAAAGGAUGUGAAUACACACAUAUAGCAAAAAUAUAUACAUUAGCGGUUCCAAAGAAUUACGUUAAGGUACUCAUAUAUGAAUAUAUGGCUAGCAGUCCAUACCGUAUGAAACUAGUAUGCUUAAAGAUUAUCUAUGUCAACUCUUACUAAACAUUACAAGGUCCAAUUCUAGUCAAACAGCAAUGCUUCUAUAUCAAUUGCUAAUAAAUUUGGAUGUAUGGAUAAGGAUGAACUUUAACUAUCAUCCAUGUAUUCCAAAAAGUAUAAUUGACACCAAUGUUUCUUGUACACGAUUCUACAAAUCUCUCUAGCAAGUGGUCCCAACAUGCCAAUACAAACAUGAAACCUAGACAAUUUUUAGGGUCCUUGGGGUGAUACUUCUAUAUAAGGGGGGCACAUCUCCGCAUAUCUCCCACUAACAUGUCGUUAGCCAAUGGUUUUGGUAAAUCUCUAGCAUUUCGUAGAUUCUUGUUGCUCUUGUUUAUAGUAGUAAGUUUCAUUUUCUUCAUAGGAUUUAGUAUGCCAAGGAGGGAGAGGCGGUCAGGUGUCGCAUACAUCCAUGAUGACAAAGAGCGUGAUGGCUCCUUCUUCAAGAGGCGCAGUGGUUUGUUCAAGAGCGCUGCUAACCUCAAUGCCCUCACCGGUGCUAGGGUUGCUAUCAUCCUAGAGGGGAGCAAUGUUGUUAUGCUCUUUCAGACAAACCAUCCUACAAUGGAUUUCUUGGGAUGGAUGCUUAAUUGGGUAAUGAUGGUACUAAGUAGACAUUCUUCUAUAGGAAAUGGUGAAUGUGUUUAUGCGCAAUAGGAAUCUUCUUCCAGCGAGCAAGAUGUUGAUGCUUGGGUGCAAUCUGAAGGACUUAGUUAGAAGCUAGUUAGACUUACAUUUUAGUUUUAUAUCAGAAUGAAAGCUAGUUACAUUACCACCUGGAAAAUGUUACCAUUUGGACAUUUUACUAAGCCCCUUCCAGGCAAUAAUAUACAUGUUCAGUGUUGUAGGUCUUGGAACAUGGAAGUUUUUUUUCUAUGUGCCGCUUCAUAUUUUCAUUAUAAUCAAAUAUUUUAUUUUCUUUGUGAGAUGUUAUGUAUCUUAUGGGUGAAGGAAGAGGAAACCUUGAUUUAUAAUACCACCCCUCUUAGCAUAUUCUGAUCCAACCAUUAGUAAUUAACAGAAAAUGGGAGCUAUGCGGAGUAAGUAACUAAAAGGUAGCACAAGUUCAUAUUUCCACUCAAGCGACAAGCAUCAAUUGCUUUAAUUGCAUAAGUGUAUGAAAAAUAAGAACAACUCAAUAUGAGAUUCAUUUGAAAUCACGGUAAAUCAAUGUUUUAUUAAUAGAUGCCAAUGCUUUAUUGUCAUUAAAUUAAAACCAUAGUAUACCUGCGAGGACAUGGCGGCCACCUAAUUCUCCAUUUCAGUUUCAGUAGCAGGAAACAACAAAUUUAUGAAAUGAAUCUACUUUUGUUGCCUUCGUUGGUUUUUAUCCUUGAAUAAAAAGUGAUUUUUUUGUAAUGAUAUUGCUCAUCUAAUUAAUAAAUUAGACCAUCGGCCGAUUGCAUUAUGCAAUUGUUCUAAUCUUCUCACCGUUGAAAGAGCAUGGUGCCCCAAUGUUUGGUUUUUGUAAUUGAUGACAAUCUCUAUGGAUUAAUGGUUGCUUUGAGUUAUAUUUGAAAGGUUAUCCAUAGGCAAUGCUUGAAUACCAUAUGUUGGUUUCAAGGUUGAAAGAAGAAUAUUAUUUGUUGACCAAGGUGUUAUUCAUGGAGUUAUCCAAAGAUUGGUCCUGUAAGAGUUGAGUCUAUUGCAAGCAUGUCCUGAAAAAGAAGAUUAUGUGAACAUUCAUGUAGCCUUCAAUACAUCAUCUUUAUGAAGAGAGAGGAUAAGAUACAAGGUUGAUCAAGACUAAGUACAAAGAAUGGAUUCAAGUUGAUGAACACACAAAGCAUAGAAGAUGUACCGAGUCAAAUCAAGUGAUCUCACGGUAUGGUAAGCAUUGUCCAUUAUGCUUUGUGUAACACAUGAUCUAUUUGUGUGGUGUUCCUAUGUGGGGCUACUUUUUUUCCAUGGGCUUACAUCAAGAGGAAGAUAUCAGAUAACCCAUGGAGGAUGACAUCAUGUGGUGAUCGUCAUCAAUGUUAUGUUGAGCAAGUUCAAGUGGAGCAUCACAAAGAGAUCACAUGCUUGAAGCUUGCCAUCCAUUCUAGUGAUAAUGGACUUGUGAAGAUGUGCCAAAGAGAGGCUCACCCAUAGUGGAGUAUGGGGGAGCAAUAUAUUAGUCUUCAUCGAGCUAGCGCAAUCAGAAAGGUGGUCCAACGUGAGGAGGACGAGAUCAUCAUCAUCUAGCUCAAGUGGACUAUGUGCAAGGCAAAGGUUUGACCUUAAUAGGUUUUCUGUUUUACCGAUCUGAUGGUGUUAGUUGGGAGACCGGGUUGAAGGAUUGAUUCACGUACUAUCAAGGGGGCUCUCGAGUGAGUAGCUUGAUCGUAUCAUUCAUAGAGAGCUCAAACCAUUGCAUCAUCGGCAUCAUCUUUCUUGGUUCUUGUUUGGCUUUUCUCUAUGUGAGUUUUGGAGCUUGUGGUCAUCUCCAUGACAAGUUCAAGUUCAUCAAAAAUGGAUUUCAUAUGCAGCAUCUAUUGUGUUUUCGAUGUAGGAGUUUUUGCCAGUUCUUCACUCAUGUAUAUUUCACACCUAUCAAGUUUCAAUUCAUCAAAAUCAAAGUUCAUUUGCCGAAGGUAUGCCUGUUUUGGUCUUAAUUACUUGCAUUCAACUGUUGUGCUUUGGUAUUUUGGUAGAGGGCAAGCGUUCUGCUUGGGCUGAGCCUUCUGUUGCCCCUCAACAUUUCGCGGUAGUACCGCUUGCUACUGGUGGUAGUACUGCUUAUGCAGUACUUCCGCUGGUUGGUGUCGUGGCUACCUCUGGUUGUGUUUAGUCUUCUGUAUGCCUCUGGCAAUUUGCGGUAGUACCGCUGCUUCCAACGGUAGUACCGCUUGAUGUGGUUCUUCCGCUCUAGUGCCGCUUGAACUACUGCUAGUUUGUCUGUUAGCCUAUUGACAAUUAGUGGCAGUACCGCUUGCUGUAGCCGGUGGGACCGCUCCGGCAGAACUAGAAUGCGAGUACCACUAUGGUACUCGAUGAGCCUCAGUGAAACUGCCGCUCUUAGCGGUAGUACCGCUUGAGCAUGACCAGUGCAUAAUGGUUGUAUUCUUGCCCCCACUAUAAAAGGGGGUCUUCUUCACCAUUGCUACUAGCAACUUUGAGCAAGCUUUCUCCUCCAUUAUUGACCUCCAAAAUCUUUGCUUUACCUCUAUCCCUCCCAUGGUUCUUGCAUCAUUUUGAGGGGAAAGAGAGAGGAUAUCUAGAUUCUAUAUCUUCAUUUCCACUAAUCCAUCUUACGUCUAAGUGAGGGCAACCCUUUGGAUCUAAAUCUUCGAGUUCUUUUGUGUUCUCCUUGUUCUUCCUCACAUAUUCCUCCAUAGCUUUCGUUACUUUGUGGGAUUUGAGAGAUGUGGGACUUGAGCACUUAGUGUGUUCUUGCCAUUACAUUAGUUGCAUCGGUUCGAGUUCUCCAUGAUGAUACAUGGAAGUGAAAGUCGAGAAGCUUACUAGUACCUUUUGGGUAUUUGGGUGUCCUAGAUGAUUGGUGGUGUCACAAAGCUCAAUCAUUGUUGUGUAAAGCUUCGGGAAAGCUUUGGGGUCUCUAAUACGUCCAUUUUAUAUCAUGUUUUCCUACUACUAUUUCUAAUGGUUUAGAGCUAUAUUUCACCUUUGAUGCAAUUCCAAUGCCUUUUCUCUCUUAAUUGCCAGUUAUAUCACAAGAGGAAGAUUGCCGACAGCUGGAAUUCUGGACCUGAAAAGUGCUACAACAGAGAUAGCUAUUCUCUUGAGCUCCAAAUGACCUAAAUUUUUCCAAAGAUUUGUUUUGAAAUAUAUAAAAAAUACUAGAAGCAAAAUGCACUGGAGGGGACGCACUAGGGAGCUACAAGCUCGGGGGCGCGCCCACCCCCUGGGGCGCACCUGGUGAGCUUAUGGGUCCCACAGAAGGCCUAUGUGGCCCAUCGUCUCCUAUAUGAAGCCAUUUUCCCUAUAAAAAUAAUCAAGAGAAGACUUAGCGCCACCGUCUCGAGGCGGAACCUGGGCAGGAGCACUUUUGCUCUCUGGCAGAGCGAUUCCACCAGGGAAACUUCCCUCUGGGAGGGGGAAAUCAAAGCCAUCAUCAUCAUCAACAAUGUUCCUUUCAUCAUGGGAGGACUCAUCUCCGUCAACAUCUUCACUAGCACCAUCUCACUUCAAACCCUAGUUCAUCUCUUGUAUUCAAUCUUUGUCUCAAACCUCAGAGUGGUACAUGUGGGUUGCUAGUAGUGUUGAUUACAUCUUGUAGUUGAUUUACUUGGUGGAAGAUCAUAUCUUUAGAUUUUUAAUCAUAUAAUUCUCCUCUUAUCAUGAACAUGAAUAUGAUGUGUGAGUAGUUUCUUUUAUUCUUGAGGAAACAGGAGAAGUCUUGUUAUAAGUAAUCAUGUGAAGUUGGUUUUCAUUCAAUAUUUUGAUGAUGUGCUAUGUUGUUCUUCCUCUAGUGGUGUCAUGUGAAUGUCGACUACAUGUCACAUUAUCAUGUUUGAGCCUAGGGGAAGGCAUUGUGGGAUUAGUCAGUAGAUGAUGGGUUGCUAGAGUGAUAGAAGCUUAAAUCCUAGUUUAUGCGCUAUGUCGUAAGGAGCUGAUUUGGAUCCAUAUGUUUCAUGCUAUGGUUGGAUUUAUCUUAAUUCUUCUUUCGUAGUUGUGGAUGCUUGCGAGAGGGGAUAAGCAUAUCUAGAUUAAGGAUAUGGAUGUACUCAGAUAGAAAUUUAAUGGUAUUAAUUUUAUAAUUUGUUUGGACGUGUGUUAGUGGUUCUAAAAAGGAUGUGAAUACACACAUAUAGCAAAAAUAUAUACAUUAGUGGUUCCAAAGAAUUACGUUAAGGUACUCAUAUAUGAAUAUAUGGCUAGCAGUCAAUACCGUAUGAAACUAGUAUUCUUAAAGAUUAUCUAUGUCAACUCUUACAAAAGAUUACAAGGUCCAAUUCUAGUCAAACAGCAAUGCUUCUAUAUCAAUUGCUAAUAAAUUUGGAUGUAUGGAUAAGGAUGAACUUUAACUAUCGUCCAUGUAUUGCAAAAAGUAUAAUUGACACCAAUGUUUCUUGUACACGAUUCUACAAAUCUCUCUAGCAAGUUGUCCCAACAUGCCGAUACAAACAUGAAACCUAGACAAUUUUUAGGGUCCUUGGGGUGAUACUUCUAUAUAAGGGGGGCACAUCUCCGCAUAUCUCCCACUAACAUGUCGUUAGCCAAUGGUUUUGGUAAAUCUCUAGCAUUUCGUAGAUUCUUGUUGCUCUUGUUUAUAGUAGUAAGUUUCAUUUUCUUCAUAGGAUUUAGUAUGCCAAGGAGGGAGAGGCGGUCAGGUGUCGCAUACAUCCAUGAUGACAAAGAGCGUGAUGGCUCCUUCUUCAAGAGGCGCAGUGGUUUGUUCAAGAGCGCUGCUAACCUCAAUGCCCUCACCGGUGCUAGGGUUGCUAUCAUCCUAGAGGCGAGCAAUGGUGUUAUGCUAUUUCAGACAAACCAUCCUACAAUAGAUUUCUUGGGAUGGAUGCUUAAUUGGGUUAUGAUGGUACUAAGUAGACAUUCUUCUAUAGGAAAUGGUGAAUGUGUUUAUGCGCAAUAGGAAUCUUCUUCCAGCGAGCAAGAUGUUGAUGCUUGGGUGUAAUCUGAAGGACUUAGUUAGAAGCUAGUUAGACUUACAUUUUAGUUUUAUAUUGGAAUGAAAGCUAGUUACAUUACCACCUGGAAAAUGUUACCAUUUGGACAUUUUACUAAGCCCCUUCCAGGCAAUAAUAUACAUGUUCAGUGUUGUAGGUCUUGGAACAUGGAAGUUUUUUUUCUAUGUGCCGCUUCAUAUUUUCAUUAUAAUCAAAUAUUUUAUUUUCAUUUUGAGAUGUUAUGUAUCUUAUGGGUGAAGGAAGAGGAAACCUUGAUUUAUAAUACCACCCCUCUUAGCAUAUUCUGAUCCAACCAUUAGUAAUUAACAGAAAAUGGGAGCUAUGCGGAGUAAGUAACUAAAAGGUAGCACACGUUCAUAUUUCCACUCAAGCGACAAGCAUCAAUUGCUUUAAUUGCAUAAGAGUAUGAAAAAUAAGAACAACUUAAUAUGAGAUUCAUUUGAAAUCACGGUAAAUCAAUGUUUUAUUAAUAGAUGCCAAUGCUUUAUUGUCAUUAAAUUAAAACCAUAGUAUACCUGCGAGGACAUGGCGGCCACCUAAUUCUCCAUUUCAGUUUCAGUAGCAGGAAACAACAAAUUUAUGAAAUGAAUCUACUUUUGUUGCCUUCGUUGGAUUUUAUCCUUGAAUAAAAAGUGAUUUUUUUGUAAUGAUAUUGCUCAUGUAAUUAAUAAAUUAGACCCUUGGCAGAUUGCAUUAUGCAAUUGUUCUAAUCUUCUCACCGUUGAAAGAGCAUGGUGCCCCAAUGUUUGGUUUUUGUAAUUGAUGACAAUCUCUAUGAACUAAUGGUUGCUUUGAGUUAUAUUUGAAAGGUUAUCCAUAGGCAAUGCUUGAAUACCAUAUGUUGGUUUCAAGGUUGAAAGAAGAAUAUUAUUUGUUGACCAAAGUGUUAUUCAUGGAGUUAUCCAAAGAUUGGUCAUGUGAGAGUUGAGUCUAUUGCAAGCAUGUCUUGAAAAAGAAGAUUAUGUGAACAUUCAUGUUGCCUUCAAUACAUCAUCUUUAUGAAGAGAGAAGAUAAGAUACAAGGUUGAUCAAGACUAAGUACUAAGAAUGGAUUCAAGUUGAUGAACACACAAAGCAUAGAAGAUGUACCGAGUCAAAUCAAGUGAUCUCACGGUAUGGUAAGCAUUGUCCAUUAUGCUUUGUGUAACCCAUGAUCUAUUUGUGUGGUGUUCCUAUGUGGGGCUACUUUUUUUCCAUGGGCUUACAUCAAGAGGAAGAUAUCAGAUAACCCAUGGAGGAUGACAUCAUGUGGUGAUCGUCAUCAAUGUUGUGUUGAGCAAGUUCAAGUGGAGCAUCACAAAGAGAUCACAUGCUUGAAGCUUGCCAUCCAUUCUGGUGAUAAUGGACUUGUGAAGAUGUGCCAAAGAGAGGCUCACCCAUAGUGGAGUAUGGGGGAGCAAUAUAUUAGUCUUCAUCGAGCUAGCACAAUCAGAAAGGUGGUCCAACGUGACGAGGGCAAGAUCAUCAUCAUCUAGCUCAAGUGGACUAUGCGCAAGGCAAAGGUUUGACCUUAAUAGGUUUUCUGUUUUACCGAUCUGAUGGUGUUAGUUGGGAGACCGGGUUGAAGGAUUGAUUCACGUACUAUCAAGGGGGCUCUCGAGUGAGUAGCUUGAUCGUAUCAUUCAUAGAGAGCUCAAACCAUUGCAUCAUCGGCAUCAUCUUUCUUGGUUCUUGUUUGGCUUUUCUCUAUGUGAGUUUUGGAGCUUGUGGUCAUCUCCGUGACAAGUUCAAGUUCAUCAAAAAUGGAUUUCAUAUGCAGCAUCUAUUGUGUUUUCGAUGUAGGAGUUUUUGCCAGUUCUUCACUCAUGUAUAUUUCACACCUAUCAAGUUUCAAUUCAUCAAAAUCAAAGUUCAUUUGCCGAAGGUAUGCCUGUUUUGGUCUUAAUUACUUGCAUUCAACUGUUGUGCUUUGGUAUUUUGGUAGAGGGCAAGCGUUCCGCUUGGGCUGAGCCUUCUGUUGCCCCUCAACAUUUCGCGGUAGUACCGCUUGCUACUGGUGGUAGUACUGCUUAUGCAGUACUUCCGCUGGUUGGUGCCGUGGCUACCUCUGGUUGUGUUUAGUCUUCUGUAUGCCUCCGGCAAUUCGCGGUAGUACCGCUGCUUCCAACGGUAGUACCGCUUGAUGCGGUUCUUCCGCUCUGGCGCCGCUUGAACUACUGCUGGUUUGUCUGUUAGCCUAUUGACAAUUCGCGGCAGUACCGCUUGCUGUAGCCGGUGGGACCGCUCCGGCAGAACUAGAAUGCGAGUAACACUAUGGUACUCGAUGAGCCUUAGUGAAACUGCCGCUCUUAGUGGUAGUACUGCUUGAGCAUGACCAGUGCAUACUGGUCUUAUUCUUGCCCCCACUAUAAAAGGGGGUCUUCUUCACCAUUGCUCCUAGCAACUUUGAGCAAGCUUUCUCCUCCAUUAUUGACCUCCAAAAGCUUUGCUUUAUCUCCAUCCCUCCCAUGGUUCUUGCAUCAUUUUGAGGGGAGAGAGAGAGGAUAUCUAGAUUCUAUAUCUACAUUUCCACCAACCCAUCUUACGUAUAAGUGAGGGGAACCCUUUGGAUCUAAAUCUUCGAGUUCUUUUGUGUUCUCCUUGUUCUUCCUCACAUAUUCCUCUAUAGCUUUCGUUACUUUGUGGGAUUUGAGUGAUGUGGGACUUGAGCACUUAGUGUGUUCUUGCCAUUGCAUUAGUUGCAUCGGUUUGAGUUCUCCAUGGUGAUACAUGGAAGUGAAAGUCGAGAAGCUUACUAGUACCUUUUGGGUAUUUGGGUGUCCUAGAUGAUUGGUGGUGUCGCAAAGCUCAAUCAUUGUUGUGUAAAGCUUCGGGAAAGCUUUGGGGUCUCUAAUACGUCCAUUUUAUAUCAUGUUUUCCUACUACUAUUUCUAAUGGUUUAGAGCUAUAUUUCACCUUUGAUGCAAUUCCAAUGCCUUUUCUCUCUUAAUUGCCAGUUAUAUCACAAGAGGAAGAUUGCCGACAGCUGGAAUUCUGGACCUGAAAAGUGCUACAACAGAGAUAGCUAUUCUCUUGAGCUCCAAAUGACCUAAAUUUUUCCAAAGAUUUGUUUUGAAAUAUAUAAAAAAUACUAGAAGCAAAUUGCACUGGAGGGGACGCACUAGGGAGCUACAAGCUCGGUGGCGCGCCCACCCCCUGGGGCGCACCUGGUGAGCUUAUGGGUCCCACAGAAGGCCUAUGUGGCCCAUCGUCUCCUAUAUGAAGCCAUUUUCCCUAUAAAAAUAAUCAAGAGAAGACUUAGCGCCAUCGUCUCGAGGCGGAACCUGGGCAGGAGCACUUUUGCUCUCUGGCAGAGUGAUUCCACCGGGGAAACUUCCCUCUGGGAGGGGCAAAUCAAAGCCAUCAUCAUCAUCAACAACGUUCCUUUCAUCAUGGGAGGACUCAUCUCCGUCAACAUCUUCACUAGAACCAUCUCACUUCAAACCCUAGUUCAUCUCUUGUAUUCAAUCUUUGUCUCAAACCUCAGAGUGGUACAUGUGGGUUGCUAGUAGUGUUGAUUACAUCUUGUAGUUGAUUUACUUGGUGGAAGAUCAUAUCUUUAGAUUUUUAAUCAUAUAUUAUUCUCCUCUUAUCAUGAACAUGAAUAUGAUGUGUGAGUAGUUUCUUUUAUUCUUGAGGAAACGGGAGAAGUCUUGUUAUAAGUAAUCAUGUGAAGUUGGUUUUCAUUAAAUAUUUUGAUAAUGUGCUAUGUUGUUCUUCCUCUAUCGGUGUCAUGUGAAUGUCGACUACAUGUCACAUUAUCAUGUUUGAGCCUAGGGGAAGGCAUUGUGGGAUUAGUCAGUAGAUGAUGGGUUGCUAGAGUGAUAGAAGCUUAAAUCCUAGUUUAUGCGCUAUUUCGUAAGGGGCUGAUUUGGAUCCAUAUGUUUCAUGCUAUGGUUGGAUUUAUCUUAAUUCUUCUUUCGUAGUUGUGGAUGCUUGCGAGAGGGGAUAAGCAUAUCUAGAUUAAGGAUAUGGAUGUACUCAGAUAGAAAUUUAAUGUUAUUAAUUUUAUAAUUUGUUUGGACGUGUGUAGUGGUUCUAAAAAGGAUGUGAAUACACACAUAUAGCAAAAAUAUAUACAUUAGCGGUUCCAAAGAAUUACGUUAAGGUACUCAUAUAUGAAUAUAUGGCUAGCAGUCAAUACCGUAUGAAACUAGUAUGCUUAAAGAUUAUCUAUGUCAACUCUUACUAAAGAUUACAAGGUCCAAUUCUAGUCAAACAGCAAUGCUUCUAUAUCAAUUGCUAAUAAAUUUGGAUGUAUGGAUAAGGAUGAACUUUAACUAUCAUCCAUGUAUUCCAAAAAGUAUAAUUGACACCAUUGUUUCUUGUACACGAUUCUACAAAUCUCUCUAGCAAGUGGUCCCAACAUGCCGAUACAAACAUGAAACCUAGACAAUUUUUAGGGUCCGUGGGGUGAUACUUCUAUAUAAGGGGGGCACAUCUCCGCAUAUCUCCCACUAACAUGUCGUUAGCCAAUGGUUUUGGUAAAUCUCUAGCAUUUCGUAGAUUCUUGUUGCUCUUGUUUAUAGUAGUAAGUUUCAUUUUCUUCAUAGGAUUUAGUAUGCCAAGGAGGAAGAGGCGGUCAGGUGUCGCAUACAUCCAUGAUGACAAAGAGCGUGAUGGCUCCUUCUUCAAGAGGCGCAGUGGUUUGUUCAAGAGCGCUGCUAACCUCAAUGCCCUCACCGGUGCUAGGGUUGCUAUCAUCCUAGAGGCGAGCAAUGGUGUUAUGCUCUUUCAGACAAACCAUCCUACAAUGGAUUUCUUGGGAUGGAUGCUUAAUUGGGUUAUGAUGGUACUAAGUAGACAUUCUUCUAUAGGAAAUGGUGAAUGUGUUUAUGCGCAAUAGGAAUCUUCUUCCAGCGAGCAAGAUGUUGAUGCUUGGGUGCAAUCUGAAGGACUUAGUUAGAAGCUAGUUAGACUUACAUUUUAGUUUUAUAUCGGAAUGAAAGCUAGUUACAUUACCACCUGGAAAAUGUUACCAUUUGGACAUUUUACUAAGCCCCUUCCAGGCAAUAAUAUACAUGUUCAGUGUUGUAGGUCUUGGAACAUAGAAGUUUUUUUUCUAUGUGCCGCUUCAUAUUUUCAUUAUAAUCAAAUAUUUUAUUUUCUUUUUGAGAUGUUAUGUAUCUUAUGGGUGAAGGAAGAGGAAACCUUGAUUUAUAAUACCACCCCUCUUAGCAUAUUCUGAUCCAACCAUUAGUAAUUAACAGAAAAUGGGAGCUAUGCGGAGUAAGUAACUAAAAGGUAGGACAAGUUCAUAUUUCCACUCAAGCGACAAGCAUCAAUUGCUUUAAUUGCAUAAGAGUAUGAAAAAUAAGAACAACUCAAUAUGAGAUUCAUUUGAAAUCACGGUAAAUCAAUGUUUUAUUAAUAGAUGCCAAUGCUUUAUUGUCAUUAAAUUAAAACCAUAGUAUACCUACGAGGACAUGGCGGCCACCUAAUUCUCCAUUUCAGUUUCAGUAGCAGGAAACAACAAAUUUAUGAAAUGAAUCUACUUUUGUUGCCUUCGUUGGUUUUUAUCCUUGAAUAAAAAGUGAUUUUUUUUGUAAUGAUAUUGCUCAUCUAAUUAAUAAAUUAGACCCUCGGCAGAUUGCAUUAUGCAAUUGUUCUAAUCUUCUCACCGUUGAAGGAAGAAUAUUAUUUGUUGACCAAUGUGUUAUUCAUGGAGUUAUCCAAAGAUUGGUCAUGUGAGAGUUGAGUCUAUUGCAAGCAUGUCUUGAAAAAGAAGAUUAUGUGAACAUUCAUGUUGCCUUCAAUACAUCAUCUUUAUGAAGAGAGAAGAUAAGAUACAAGGUUGAUCAAGACUAAGUACAAAGAAUGGAUUCAAGUUGAUGAACACACAAAGCAUAGAAGAUGUAACGAGUCGAAUCAAGUGAUCUCACGGUAUGGUAAGCAUUGUCCAUUAUGCUUUGUGUAACCCAUUAUCUAUUUGUGUGGUGUUCCUAUGUGGGGCUAGUUUUUUUCCAUGGGCUUACAUCAAGAGGAAGAUAUCAGAUAACCCAUGGAGGAUGACAUCAUGUGGUGAUCAUUAUCAAUGUUGUGUUGUGCAAGUUCAAGUGGAGCAUCACAAAGAGAUCACAUGCUUGAAGCUUGCCAUCCAUUCUGGUGAUAAUGGACUUGUGAAGAUGUGCCAAAGAGAGGCUCGCUCAUAGUGGAGUAUGGGGGAGCAAUAUAUUAGUCUUCAUCGAGCUAGCGCAAUCAGAAAGGUGGUCCAACAUGACGAGGACGAGAUCAUCAUCAUCUAGCUCAAGUGGACUAUGCGCAAGGCAAAGGUUUGACCUUAAUAGGUUUUCUAUUUUACCGAUCUGAUGGUGUUAGUUGGGAGACCGGGUUGAAGGAUUGAUUCACGUACUAUCAAGGGGGCUCUCGAGUGAGUAGCUUGAUUGUAUCAUUCAUAGAGAGCUCAAACCAUUGCAUCAUUGGCAUCAUCCUUCUUGGUUCUUGUUUGGCUUUUCUCUAUGUGAGUUUUGGAGCUUGUGGUCAUCUCCGUGACAAGUUCAAGUUCAUCGAAAAUAGAUUUCAUAUGCAGCAUCUAUUGUGUUUUCGAUGUAGGAGUUUUUGCCAGUUCUUCACUCAUGUAUAUUUCACACCUCUAUUGUGAUUUGACAACUCUUGUUGUUAGCUUUCUAUCAAGUUUCAAUUCAUCAAAAUCAAAGUUCAUUUGCCGAAGGUAUGCCUGUUUUGGUCUUAAUUACUUGCAUUCAACUGUUGUGCUUUGGUAUUUUGGUAGAGGGCAAGCGUUCCGCUUGGGCUGAGCCUUCUGUUGCCCCUCAACAUUUCGCGGUAGUACCGCUUGCUACUGGUGGUAGUACUGCUUAUGCAGUACUUUCGCUUUUUGGGGAACGUAGUAAUUUCAAAAAAAAUCCUACGCACACGCAAGAUCAUGGUGAUGCAUAGCAACGAGAGGGGAGAGUAAUGUCCACGCACCCUCGUAGACUGUAAGCGGAAGCGUUAUGACAACGCGGUUGAUGUAGUCGUACGUCUUCGCGAUCUGACCGAUCCAAGUACCGAACGUACGGUACCUCCGAGUUCAGCACACGUUCAGCUCGAUGACGAUCCCCAGACUCCGAUCCAGCAAAGUGUCGGGGAUGAGUUCCGUCAGCAUGACAGCGUGGUGACGAUGAUGAUGUUCUACCGGCGCAGGGCUUCGCCUAAACUCCACGACGAUAUGACCGAUGUGGAAUAUGGUGGAGGGGGGCAACGCACACGGCUAAGGAACGAUCACGUAGAUCAACUUGUGUGUUCUAGGGUGCCCCCCUGCCCCCGUAUAUAAAGCAGGGAGGGGGAGGUGCGGCCGGCCCCCAAGGGGUGCGCCUGGAGGAGUCCUACUCCCACCGGGAGUAGGACUCCCCCCUCUUGCCUUGGUGGAGAAGAAAAAGGGGGGAGGGGAAAGAGGAAAGGGGGGCGCCGCCGCCCCCCCCCCUUGCUUGUCCUAUUCGGACUAGGGGGGAGGGGGCGCGCGGCCUGCCCUGGCCGGCCCUCCUCUUCUCCCUCAUGGCCCAUGUAGGCCCAAUAACCCCCGGGGGGGGUUCCGGUAACCCCUCGGUACUCCGGAAAAAUCCCGGUUUCUCCCGGAACGAUUCCGAUAUCCAAAUAUAGGCUUCCAAUAUAUCAAUCAUUAUGUCUCGACCAUUUCGAGACUCCUCGUCAUGUCCUGGAUCACAUCCGGGACUCCGAACAACCUUCGGUACAUCCAAAUAUAUAAACUCAUAAUAAAACUGUCAUCGUAACGUUAAGCGUGCGGACCCUACGGGUUCGAGAACUAUGUAGACAUGACCUACAACUAUUCUCGGUCAAUAACCAAUAGCGGAACCUAGAUGCUCAUAUUGGCUCCUACAUAUUCUACGAAGAUCUUUAUCGAUCAAACCGCAUAACAACAUACGUUGUUCCCUUUGUCAUCGGUAUGUUACUUGUCCGAGAUUCGAUCGUCGGUAUCUUAAUACCUAGUUCAAUCUCAUUACCGGCAAGUCUCUUUACUCGUUAUGUAAUGCAUCAUCCCGCAACUAACUCAUUAGUCACAUUGCUUGCAAGGCUUAUAGUGAUGUGCAUUACCGAGAGGGCCCAGAGAUACCUCUCCGACAAUCGGAGUGACAAAUUCUAAUCUCGAAAUACGCCAACCCAACAUGUACCUUUGGAGACACCUGUAGAGCUCCUUUAUAAUCACCCAGUUAUGUUGUGACGUUUGGUAGCACACAAAGUGUUCCUCUGGUAAACGGGAGUUGCAUAAUCUCAUAGUCAUAGGAACAUGUAUAAGUCAUGAAGAAAGCAAUAGCAACAUACUAUACGAUCAAGUGCUAAGCUAACGGAAUGGGUCAAGUCAAUCACAUCAUUCUCCUAAUGAUGUGAUCCCGUUAAUCAAAUGACAACUCUUUGUCCAUGGCUAGGAAACAUAACCAUCUUUGAUGAACGAGCUAGUCAAGUAGAGGCGUACUAGUGACACUAUGUUUGUCUAUGUAUUCACACAUGUAUUAUGUUUCCGGUUAAUACAAUUCUAGCAUGAAUAAUAAACAUUUAUCAUGAUAUAAGGAAAUAAAUAAUAACUUUAUUAUUGCCUCUAGGGCAUAUUUCCUUCAGUCUCCCACUUGCACUAGAGUCAAUUAUCUAGUUCACAUCAUCAUGUGAUUCAACACUAAUAUUCACAUCUGUAUGUGAUUAACACCCAUAGUUCACAUCGUCAUGUGACCAACACCCAAAGGGUUUACUAGAGUCAAUAAUCUAGUUCACAUCGCUAUGUGAUUAACACCCAAAGAGUACUAAGGUAUGAUCAUGUUUUGCUCGUGAGAGAAGCUUAGUCAACGGGUCUGUCACAUUUAGAGCCGUAUGUAUUUUGCAAAAUAUUCUAUGUCUACAAUGCUCUGUAUGGAGCUACUCUAGCUAAUUGCUCCCACUUUCAAUAUGUAUCCAGAUUGAGACUUAGAGUCAUCUGGAUCAGUGUAAAAGUUUGCAUCGAUGUAACUUUUACAACGAACUCUUUUAUCACCUCCAUAAUCGAGAAACAUCUCCUUAGUCCUCACUAAGGAUAUUCUUGACCGCUGUCCAGUGAUCUACUAUUAGAUAAAAAUUGUAUUCCUCCGCCAAACUCAGAGCAAGGUAUACAAUAGUUCUGGUUCACAGCAUUGCAUACUUUAUAGAACCUAUGACUGAGGCAUAGGGAAUGACUUUUUCAUUCUCUUUCUAUUUUCUGCCAUGGUCGGGUCUUGAGUCUUACUCAACUUCACACCUUGCAACACAGGCAAGAACUCCUUCUUUGACUGUUCCAUUUUGAACUAUUUCAAAAAAUUUAUCAAGGUAUGUACUCAUUGAAAAAUCUUAUAAAGCGUCUGGAUCUAUCUAUAUAGAUCUUGAUGCUCAAUGUGUAAGCAGCUUCACCGAGGUCUUGCUUUGAAAUACUCUUAUUCAAGUAUCCUUUCAUGCUAUCCAGAAUUUCUAUAUCAUUUCCAAUCAACAAUAUGUCAUCCACAUAUAAUAUUAGAAAUGCUACAGAGCUCCCACUCACUUUCUUGUAAAUACAGGCUUCUUCAAAAGUCUGUAUAAAACCAUAUGCUUCGAUCAACUCAUCAAGCAUAUAUUCCAACUCCGAGAUGCUUGCACAAGUCCAUAGAUGGAUCGCUGGAGCUUGCACAUUUUGUUAGCACCUUUAGGAUUGACAAAACCUUCUGGUUGCAUCAUAUACAACUCUUCUUUAAGAAAACCAUUAAGGAAUGCAGUUUUGACAUCCAUUUGCCAGAUUUCAUAAAAUGUGGCAAUUGCUAACAUGAUUCGGACAGACUUAAGCAUCGCUACAGUUGAGAAAAUCUCAUUGUAGUCAACACCUUGAACUUGUCGAAAACCUUUUUGCGACAAGUCGAGCUUUGUAUAUAAUAACACUACUAUCAGCAUCUGUCUUCCUCUUGAAGAUCCGUUUAUACAAUAUGGCUUGCCGAUCAUCGGGCAACUCCACCAAAGUCCACACUUUGUUCUCAUACAUGGAUCCCAUCUCAGAUUUCAUGGCCUCAAGCCAUUUCGCAGAAUCUGGGCUCAUCACCGCUUCCUCAUAGUUCGUAGGUUUAUCAUGGUCUAGUAACAUGACUUCCAGAAUAGGAUUACCGUACCACUCUGGUGCAGAUCUCACUCUGGUUUACCUACGACGUUAGGUAGCAACUUGAUCUGAAGUUUCAUGAUCAUCAUCAUUAACUUCCUCACUAAUUGGUGUAGGAAUCACUGGAACUGAUUUCUGUGAUGAACUACUUUCCAAUAAGGGAGAAGGUACAAUUACCUCAUCAAGUUCUACUUUCCUUCCACUCACUUCUUUCGAGAGAAACUUCUUCUCUAGAAAGGAUCCAUCUUUGCAACGAAUAACUAGCCUUCGGAUCUGUGAUAGAAGGUGUACCCAAUAGUUACCUUUGGGUAUUCUAUGAAGACGCACUUUUCCGAUUUGGGUUCGAGCUUAUCAGGUUGAAACCUUUUCAUAUAAGCAUCGCAACUCCAAGCUUUAAGAAGCGACAGCUUAGGUUUACUGCUAAACCAUAGUUCAUACGGUGUCAUCUCAACGGAUUUAGAUGGUGCCCUAUUGAACGUGAAUGCAGCUGUCUGUAAUGCAUAACCCCAAAACGAUAGUGGUAAACCGAUAAGAGACAUCAUAGAUCGCACCAUAUCUAGUAAAGUACGAUUACGACGUUCGGACACACCAUUACAUUGUGGUGUUCCAGGUGGCGUGAGUGCCGAAACUAUUUCACAUUGUUUCAAAUGAAGACCAAACUCGUAACUCAAAUAUUCAUCUCCAUGAUCAGAUCGUAGAAACUUUAUUUUCUUGUUACGAUGAUUUUCCACUUCACUCUGAAAUUCUUUGAACCUUUCAACUAUUUCAGACUUAUGUUUCAUCAAGUAGAUAUACCCAUAUCUGCUCAAAUCAUCUGUGAAGGUUAGAAAAUAACGAUACCCGCCACGAGACUUAAUACUCAUUGGUCUGCAUACAUCAGUAUGUAUUAUUUCCAACAAGUUUGUUGCUCAUUCCAUUGUUCCGGAGAAUGGAGUUUUAGUCAUCUUGCCCAAAAGGCACGGUUCACAAGCAUCAAAUGAUUCAUAACCAAGUGAUUUCAAAAGCCCAUCUUUAUGGAGUUUCUUCAUGCGCUUUACACCGAUAUGACCCAAACGGCAGUGCCACAAAUAAGUUGCACUAUCAUUAUUAACUUUGCAUCUUUUGGCAUCAAUAUUAUGAAUAUGUGUACCACUAUGAUCGAGAUCCAACAAACUAUUUUCAUUGGGUGUAUGACCAUUUGAAGGUUUUAUUCAUGUAAACAGAAUAACAAUUUAUUCUCUGUUUUAGAUGAAUAAUCGUAUCGCAAUAAACAUGAUCUAAUCAUAUUUAUGCUCAACGCAAACACCAAAUAACAAUUAUUUAGGUUCAACACUAAUCUCGAAAAUAUAGGGAGUGUACGAUGAUGAUCAUAUCAAUUUUGGAAGCACUUCCAACACACAUCGUUACUUCACCCUCAACUAGUCUCUGUUUAUUCUGUAACUCCUGUUUCGAGUUACUAAUCUUAGCAACCGAACAAGUAUCAAAUACUCAGGUGCUACUAUAAACACUAGUAAAGUACACAUCAAUAACAUGUAUAUCAAAUAUACCUUUGUUCACUUUGCCAUCCUUUUUAUCCGCCAAAUACUUGGGGCAGUUUCGCUUCCAGUGACCAGUUCCUUUGCAGUAGAAGCACUCAGUCUCAGGCUUAGGUCCAGACUUGGGCUUCUUCAUUUGAGCAGCAACUUGCUUGCCAUUCUUCUUGAAGUUCCCCUUCUUCCCUUGGCCCUUUUCUUGAAACUAGUGGUCUUGUUAACUAUCAACACUUGAUGUUUUUCUUGAUUUCUACCUUCGUCGAUUUCAGCAUCAUGAAGAGCUUGGGAAUUACUUUUGUCAUCCCUUGCAUAUUAUAGUUUCAUCACGAAGUUCUACUAACUUGGUGAUGGUGACUAGAGAAUUCUGUCAAUCACUAUCUUAUCUGGAAGAUUAACUCCCACUUGAUUCAAGCGAUUGAAGUAAACAAUCUGAACACAUGCUCACUAGUUGAGCGAUUCUCCUCCAUCUUUUAGCUAUAGAACUUGUUGAAGACUUCAUAUCUCUCAACUCGGGUAUUUGCUUGAAAUAUUAACUUCAAUUCCUGGAACAUCUCAUAUGGUCCAUGACGUUCAAAACGUCUUUGAAGUCCCGAUUCUAAGCCGUUAAGCAUGGUGCACUAAACUAUCAAGUAGUCAUCAUAUUGAGCUAGCCAAACAUUCAUAAUGUCUGCAUCUGCUCCUGCAAUAGGUCUGUCACCUAGCGGUGCAUCAAGGACAUAAUUCUUCUGUGCAUCAAUGAGGAUAAACCUCAGAUCGUGGAUCCAAUCCGCAUCAUUGCUACUAACAUUUUUCAACAUAAUUUUUCUCUAGGAACAUAUAGGAAAACAUAAGGAAGCAAAAACAUAGAGAAGCAACAACGCGAGCUAUUGAUCUACAACAUAAUUUGCAAAAUACUACCAGGACUAAGUUCAUGAUAAAUUAAAGUUCAAUUAAUCAUAUUACUUAAGAACUCCCACUUAGACAGACAUCUCUCUAGUCAUCUAAGUGAUCACGUGAUCCAAAUCAACUAAACCAUGUCCAAUCAUCACGUGAGAUGGAGUAGUUUCAAUGGUGAACAUCACUAUGUUGAUCAUAUCUACUAUAUGAUUCACGCUCGACCUUUCGGUCUCCGUGUUCCGAGGACAUAUCUGUUAUAUGCUAGGCUCGUCAAGUUUAACCUGAGUAUUCCGCGUGUGCAACUGUUUUGCACCCGCUGUAUUUGAACGUAGAGCCUAUCACACCCGAUCAUCACGUGGUGUCUCAGCACGAAGAAUUUUUGCAACGGUGCAUACUCAGGGAGAACACUUCUUGAUAAUUUUAGUGAGAGAUCGUCUUAAAAUGCUACCGUCAAUCAAAGCAAGAUAAGAUGCAUAAAGGAUAAACAUCACAUGCAAUCAAUAUAAGUGAUAUGAUAUGGCCAUCAUCAUCUUGUGCUUGUGAUCUCCAUCUCCGAAGCACCGUCGUGAUCACCAUCGUCACCGGUGCGACACCUUGAUCUCCAUCGUAGCAUCGUUGUCGUUACGCCAUCUAUUGCUUCUACGACUAUCGCUACCGCUUAGUGAUAAAGUAAAGCAAUUACAGGGCGUUUGCAUUUCAUACAAUAAAGCGACAACCAUAUGGCUCCUGCCAGUUGCCGAUAACUUCGGUUACAAAACAUGAUCAUCUCAUACAAUAAAAUAUAGCAUCACGUCUUGACCAUAUCACAUCACAACAUGCCCUGCAAAAACAAGUUAGACGUCCUCUACUUUGUUGUUGCAAAUUUUACGUGGCUGCUACGGGCUAAGCAAGAACCGUUCUUACCUACGCAUCAAAACCACAACGAUAGUUCGUCAAGUUAGUGCUGUUUUAACCUUCGCAAGGACCGGGCGUAGCCACACUCGGUUUCAACUAAAGUUGGAGAAACAGACACCCGCCAGCCACCUGUGUGCAAAGCACGUCGGUAGAACCAGUCUCGUGUAAGCGUACGCGUAAUGUCGGUCAGGGCCGCUUCAUCCAACAAUACCGCUGAACCAAAGUAUGACAUGCUGGUAAGCAGUAUGACUUGUAUCACCCACAACUCACUUGUGUUCUACUCGUGCAUAUAACAUCAACGCAUAAAACCUAGGCUCGGAUGCCACUGUUGGGGAACGUAGUAAUUUCAAAAAAAUUCCUACGCACACGCAAGAUCAUGGUGAUGCAUAGCAACGAGAGGGGAGAGUAAUGUCCACGCACCCUCGUAGACCGUAAGAGGAAGCGUUAUGACAACGCGGUUGAUGUAGUCGUACGUCUUCGCGAUCCGACCGAUCCAAGUACCGAAUGUACGGUACCUCCGAGUUCAGCACACGUUCAGCUCGAUGAUGAUCCCCGGACUCCGAUCCAGCAAAGUGUCGGGGAUGAGUUCCGUCAACACGACAGCAUGGUGACGAUGAUGAUGUUCUACCGGCGCAGGGCUUCGCCUAAACUCCGUGACGAUAUGACCGAUGUGGAAUAUGGUGGAGGGGGCACCGUACACGGCUAAGGAACGAUCACGUAGAUCAACUUGUGUGUUCUAGGGUGCCCCCCUGCCCCCGUAUAUAAAGGAGGGAGGGGGAGGUGCGGCCGGCCCCCAAGGGGUGCGCCUGGAGGAGUCCUACUCCCACCAGGAGUAGGACUCCCCCCUCUUACCUUGGUGGAGAAGAAAAAGGGGGGAGGGGAAAGAGGAAAGGGGGGCGCCCCCCCCCCUUCCUUGUCCUAUUCGGACUAGAGGGGGAGGGGGCGUGCGGCCUGCCCUGGCCGGCCCUCCUCUUCUCCCUCAUGGCCCAUGUAGGCCCAAUAACCCCCGGGGGGUUCCGGUAACCCCCCGGUACUCCGGAAAAAUCCCGGUUUCUCCCGGAACGAUUCCGAUAUCCAAAUAUAGGCUUCCAAUAUAUCAAUCUUUAUGUCUCGACCAUUUCGAGACUCCUCGUCAUGUCUUGGGUCACAUCCGGGACUCCGAACAACCUUCGGUACAUCAAAAUAUAUAAACUCAUAAUAAAACUGUCAUCGUAACGUUAAGCGUGCGGACCCGACGGGUUCGAGAACUAUGUAGACAUGAACUAGAACUAUUCUUGGUCAAUAAACAAUAGCAGAACCUGGACGCUCAUAUUGGCUCCUACAUAUUCUACGAAGAUCUUUAUCGGUCAAACCGCAUAACAACAUACGUUGUUCCCUUUGUCAUCGGUAUGUUACUUGUCCGAGAUUCGAUCGUCGGUAUCUUAAUACCUAGUUCAAUCUCGUUACCGGCAAGUCUCUUUACUCGUUAUGUAAUGCAUCAUCCCGCAACUAACUCAUUAGUCACAUUGCUUGCAAGGCUUCUAGUGAUGUGCAUUACCGAGAGGGCCCAGAGAUACCUCUCCGACAAUCGGAGUGACAAAUUCUAAUCUCGAAAUACGCCAACCCAACAUGUACCUUUGGAGACACCUGUAGAGCUCCUUUAUAAUCACCCAGUUACGUUGUGACGUUUGGUAGCACACAAAGUGUUCCUACGGUAAACGGGAGUUGCAUAAUCUCAUAGUCAUAGGAACAUGUAUAAGUCAUGAAGAAAGCAAUAGCAACAUACUAUACGAUCAAGUGCUAAGCUAACGGAAUAGGUCAAGUCAAUCACAUCAUUCUCCUAAUGAUGUGAUCCUGUUAAUCAAAUGACAACUCUUUGUCCAUGGCUAGGAAACAUAACCAUCUAUGAUGAACGAGCUAGUCAAGUAGAGGCAUACUAGUGACACUAUGUUUGUCUAUGUAUUCACACAUGUAUUAUGUUUCCGGUUAAUACAAUUCUAGCAUGAAUAAUAAACAUUUAUCAUGAUAUAAGGAAAUAAAUAAUAACUUUAUUAUUGCCUCUAGGGCAUAUUUCCUUCACCGCUGGUUGGUGCCGUGGCUACCUCUGGUUGUGUUUAGUCUUCUGUAUGGCUCUGGCAAUUCGCGGUAGUACCGCUGCUUCCAACGGUAGUACCGCUUGAUGCGGUUCUUGCGCUCUGGCGUCGCUUGAACUACUGCUGGUUUGUCUGUUAGCCUAUUGACAAUUAGCGGCAGUACCGCUUGCUGUAGCCGGUGGGACCGCUCCGGCAGAACUAGAAUGCGAGUACCACUGUGGUACUCGAUGAGCCUCAGUGAAACUGCCGCUCUUAGCGGUAGUACCGCUUGAGCAUGACCAGUGCAUAAUGGUUGUAUUCUUUCCCCCACUAUAAAACGGGGUCUUCUUCACCAUUACUCCUAGCAACUUUGAGCAAGCCUUCUUCACCAUCCCUCCCAUGGUUCUUGCAUCAUUUUGAGGGGAAAGAGAGAGGAUAUCUAGAUUCUAUAUCUACAUUUCCACCAAUCCAUCUUACGUCUAAGUGAGGGGAACCCUUUGGAUCUAAAUCUUUGAGUUCUUUUGUGUUCUCCUUGUUCUUCCUCACAUAUUCCUCCAUAGCUUUCGUUGCUUUGUGGGAUUUGAGAGAUGUGGGACUUGAGCACUUAGUGUGUUCUUGCCAUUGCAUUAGUUGCAUCGGUUUGAGUUCUCCACGGUGAUACGUGGAAGUGAAAGUCGAGAAGCUUAAUAGUACCUUUUGGGUAUUUGGGUGUCCUAGAUGCUUGGUGGUGUCGCAAAGCUCAAUCAUUGUUGUGUAAAGCUUCGGGAAAGCUUUGGGGUCUCUAAUACGUCCAUUUUAUAUCAUGUUUUCCUACUACUAUUUCUAAUGUUUUAGAGCUAUAUUUCACCUUUGAUGCAAUUCCAAUGCCUUUUCUCUCUUAAUUGCCAGUUAUAUCACAAGAGGAAGAUUGCCGACAGCUGGAAUUCUGGACCUGAAAAGCGCUACAACAGAGAUAGCUAUUCUCCUGAGCUCCAAAUGACCUAAAUUUUUCCAAAGAUUUGUUUUGAAAUAUAUAAAAAAUACUAGAAGCAAAAUGCACUGGAGGGGACGCACUAGGCAGCUACAAGCUCGGGGGCGCACCUGGUGAGCUUAUGGGUCCCACAGAAGGCCUAUGUGGCCCAUCGUCUCCUAUAUGAAACCAUUUUCCCUAGAAAAAUAAUCAAGAGAAGACUUUUGGAACGAAGGGCCACCGUCUCGAGGCGGAACCUGGGCAGGAGCACUUUUGCUCUCUGGCAGAGAGAUUCCACCGGGGAAACUUCCCUCUGGGAGGGGGAAAUCAAAGCCAUCGUCAUCAUCAACAAUGUUCCUUUCAUCAUGGGAGGACUCAUCUCCGUCAACAUCUUCACUAGCACCAUCUCACUUCAAACCCUAGUUCAUCUCUUGUAUUCAAUCUUUGUCUCAAACCUCAGAGUGGUACAUGUGGGUUGCUAGUAGUGUUGAUUACAUCUUGUAGUUGAUUUACUUGGUGGAAGAUCAUAUCUUUAGAUUUUUAAUCAUAUAUUAUUCUCCUCUUAUCAUGAACAUGAAUAUGAUGUGUGAGUAGUUUCUUUUAUUCUUGAGGAAACGGGAGAAGUCUUGUUAUAAGUAAUCAUGUGAAGUUGGUUUUCAUUAAAUAUUUUGAUGAUGUGCUAUGUUGUUCUUCCUCUAUCGGUGUCAUGUGAAUGUCGACUACAUGUCACAUUAUCAUGUUUGAGCCUAGGGGAAGGCAUUGUGGGAUUAGUCAGUAGAUGAUGGGUUGCUAGAGUGAUAGAAGCUUAAAUCCUAGUUUAUGCGCUAUUUCGUAAGGGGCUGAUUUGGAUCCAUAUGUUUCAUGCUAUGGUUGGAUUUAUCUUAAUUCUUCUUUCAUAGUUGUGGAUGCUUGCGAGAGGGGAUAAGCAUAUCUAGAUUAAGGAUAUGGAUGUACUCAGAUAGAAAUUUAAUGGUAUUAAUUUUAUAAUUUGUUUGGACAUGUGUUAGUGGUUCUAAAAAGGAUGUGAAUACACACAUAUAGCAAAAAUAUAUACAUUAGUGGUUCCAAAGAAUUACGUUAAGGUACUCAUAUAUGAAUAUAUGGCUAGCAGUCAAUACCGUAUGAAACUAGUAUGCUUAAAGAUUAUCUAUGUCAACUCUUACUAAAGAUUACAAGGUCCAAUUCUAGUCAAACAGCAAUGCUUCUAUGUCAAUUGCUAAUAAAUUUGGAUGUAUGCAAAAAGUAUAAUUGACACCAAUGUUUCUUGUACACGAUUCUACAAAUCUCUCUAGCAAGUGGUCCCAACAUGCCGAUACAAACAUGAAACCUAGACAAUUUUUAGGGUCCUUGGGGUGAUACUUCUAUAUAAGGGGGGCACAUCUCCGCAUAUCUCCCACUAACAUGUCGUUAGCCAAUGGUUUUGGUAAAUCUCUAGCAUUUCGUAGAUUCUUGUUGCUCUUGUUUAUAGUAGUAAGUUUCAUUUUCUUCAUAGGAUUUAGUAUGCCAAGGAGGGAGAGGCGGUCAGGUGUCGCAUACAUCCAUGAUGACAAAGAGCGUGAUGGCUCCUUCUUCAAGAGGCGCAGUGGUUUGUUCAAGAGCGCUGCUAACCUCAAUGCCCUCACCGGUGCUAGGGUUGCUAUCAUCCUAGAGGCGAGCAAUGGUGUUAUGCUCUUUCAGACAAACCAUCCUACAAUGGAUUUCUUGGGAUGGAUGCUUAAUUGGGUUAUGAUGGUACUAAGUAGACAUUCUUCUAUAGGAAAUGGUGAAUGUGUUUAUGCGCAAUAGGAAUCUUCUUCCAGCGAGCAAGAUGUUGAUGCUUGGGUGCAAUCUGAAGGACUUAGUUAGAAACUAGUUAGACUUACAUUUUAGUUCUAUAUCAGAAUGAAAGCUAGUUACAUUACCACCUGGAAAAUGUUACCAUAUGGACAUUUUACUAAGCCCCUUCCAGGCAAUAAUAUACAUGUUUAGUGGUGUAGGUCUUGGAACAUGGAAGUUUUUUUUCUAUGUGCCGCUUCAUAUUUUCAUUAUAAUCAAAUAUUUUAUUUUCUUUUUGAGAUGUUAUGUAUCUUAUGGGUGAAGGAAGAGGAAACCU
rnacentral:lncRNA from 1 species